GUUUUUGUUUGCUAUGUGUGAAAGCUGCCCUGUUAUAUAUAAUGACAAACUAAUAAAUAAAAUUAAAUGUUAUAAUCAUACUCUAGUUUAAUUGUACCCUAUAGCAAAUUGUUUGUUAGUCACCUCUCUCCCUCGAAAAUUCGCUCGUCACUCUCCCUCUCUCGCUCGCUCCCUUUCACUUUUACACUGACACAAGUGUAUAAAAUGUGUUUUUGUUUGUAUAAAGCGAGAAAAAAUUGUAUAUAUAUGUAUAUAUAUUAGUUCCCCUAUUCCAGAUCUCGCUCGUCACCCUCGCCUUUAUCCCUUAUACAAACAGAAACGAAAUGUAUAAAUUGUAUUUCUGUUUGUAUAAAGUGAGAGAAGAUUGUAUACACACUUGCAAAUACAUAUAUCUUCGUCCUGUACACUUAUAAUUAUACAAUACAAAUAUCCCCCUGCCCAAUUUUCUUUUGUCUUUCUCUCUUUCUCAUUUCAUAUAUACACAAAUUAUACAAUCGAUUUGUAUACAAUAGCUUUCUUUUGUAUAUGUAUAGUGAAUUAUACAAUUAGUUUCUUUGUAUAUGUAUAACAAAUUAUACAUAAUUAUGUUUGUUAUGGAAUACAAUUUUGCAAACUUUGUUAUAACGUACAAAUACGAAUUUUAUGUUUGCUAUAUGUGAAAGUUAUUCUUUAUUGUAUAAUUUAAAUUUUAAGAGGACAAGUAAAAAUAGACUGAUAAAGUAUUUUUUUUAAGUGAAAUGUCAUACGUGAUGAAUUAAUAAUGAAUUCCAAACAUCCCAAAUAUAUAUAUAAUUAAAUAAAAUACGUGUGGACGUUGGGAUAUUUAAUUUCAUAAUUCAUUUUAUCGUGCACACAGUGAUGGAGGAUAGAUGUGCACGUCCACUUUGCUGAAGUUUGACAGAGAAAAAUCUAACACCAGCUGCAACGCCUAAUUAGAGACACAAAAAAGAUUGAACAAUUCAAUUUUCCGUUUCAUUUCAUUGUGCCAUUAUGUGUCUAUACACAUUUUAAUUGUAAAACAAAUCAAUCUCCGAUAAGUGAAGAAACUCAACCAGUAAACACAAGAUAAAUAAAAAAUAAAUAAAAGAUAAGGAGGAUCGUGUCAUUCUGCUCCCGUGUUAUGAAGUGUGUGUCUGGUCUGAAAAUUUGAGUAGAGACUUUGGAGAAUGCAGAAUUAUACGUGGAUAAGAAGAAUCGCGGCAAAAAUUGUGCAAAUCAACCAAUGAAGUGGUUUACUUCUGUUUGAAUAAGAUUUAUUGUUGCUAUCUUGUGGUGUUCCUGUAGAUGCUACUCGCGCUGGUGGUGGGGGUGACAACACUGGUGCCUCGCAUUUGCGUGAUGUACCAUUUACCUGUUUAUCAAAGAAAAUCAAUAUAUCUUUCCCUGGGAGAAAUUCGACUAGAAUAAUGAUAAAGAGAAUCCAAUUCUGGGGAGUGACAAAUGCGGUGUUAUGUUCAUUUUAGCAGUUAACGUCAAAGCAAGCUAGCAAACCUUGCAAUAGGCAAUGCUGCUACAGUUACAAGUCAAUUGGCCGUUUGCUUGAUCUACAGCUUCUGGAGCUCCACCACCAUCACUUCGCUGCAUCAAUAUAAGUAAAAUUCAUAAUUUUCUAAUGGUGAAAAGAGACAAUUUAAGCAAAAGAACAUAAAAGUGGAGACUAUACCUGAUAAAAAUCAACAGCAAUAAAAUUAGGCCACCUUUUGCCAGCUGCUUCAAAGCAAGUCUUUGUCAUAGUAAUUAGCGGAGCAGAAUUAUCCAAACAAGAUUCUGUUUUGUUGGGAUUAUCAGGAAAAUAAUUCUGCAGAACCAAAGAGAUUCCCGAUGUACUCAAAGCAGAUGAUUCAGAACGACUUGGACAAGAACCUUCUUUCAUCCCGUCAUUUCCAUCUGCAGAACAUACAGUAAACAUGUCAAGUCAUCAAUAGUUUGAGCAACCAUGUCUGAUGAUACCAAAUGUAAGAAAGAUGAGCAAGUGAAGUUGCAACUUGCAAAUAUAAGAAAAUUUACUCAAGGACCAACUUAUGUCAUUCAGAAACCAAAAAACGAUGUUAAUUGGCAUAAGGCUCCUAGACUAGUUCUGAAGCAUUUGCCUCUUCAAAUACUUGAAAAUUAAAUGCAAUUCAACAUAAGUUGAUCUCACAGGAGCUGCUAAUUAAAUCGCGAAUGUAAACAAUUCUAGAUUCACUAAGUAUGUCAUACCAGGAAAGCGGAAAGCAACAUAAGCAUCAAAUUAGACAAAAGCUGUUAACUCACAUUGGUUUUCUACAACGUAUCUCCACUCAUAAGCAAUGCCAUCAGAAGCCUCCUUUGAUGAUUUAGAGGUGAAGACUACAAGACGUUGAUUCUGCUUGACCAUGUCAUCCACUGUAGGCCAAUCUUCUCCUUUUUUGGGCAUACGAGAAAUUGGAAACCAGUACUUAUUAAGACCAGAAUCAUUAAAAACCUUGCUCAAGGCCUUUGGGGUUGAGACAUAGUCUUCAAUGAAGAUUGUGACGACCUCUGAUGGGUUCUUUUCGAGGAACCCUUGAAUUUCUUUCAGUGAAUUGAUUGCAGGUUGCUGAAUCAUCCAGAAAGUAAGUUGCACCAAUCAGCAAUAACAAGAAUGCUAUAUGAGUACCGAAUCAGGUAAUCAAGUAAACCUAGCAAUAUGUGUUAGUAAACUUACAAAUGAUGUAACAUUGUAACACUUCCCACCAAAUGAGUGACAAAGCCAGAUGUCAUUGUUGAAAUCAUACAUAUCAAGCAUAAGUCCUCGAACGCCAUUCUACAGAUAUCAAUCAAUUUCUUUAGCAGAGUUUUCACUUUAAUAAUAUCAGAACUUAAGAAGCUAAUGACUUCUCUGCUUAAGUUAACGUAGUAAAAUCAGAGUACUUCCUGAAAUGGUCACUAUAUAUUUACCGAUAGCAUAUUUUACUUUUUUACUGAAGUAAUUCUCAGGUUAGUUGAAUCACACAGCUCUGAAUUUUCCAAAAACAAAUUCUUUCAAGGCUCGAAAGAUCUUUACAUAGAAAAAGUAGUGGGGAAUAAAGGUAGCAAUUUUAUCUCAUAAUUUUGAUACAUAGACUCCACUGAGAACUAAAUUAGGACAUUAGCAUGUGGACAAUUUUGAUAAGAUCGUUAGGUGAAAGCACAUGCUUAUGUCCUAAGCAAAGUAAAAUAUGAGUUUUUUGCAAUUAUAUAUUACCAAUCUAAUCUGACUUUUUUCUCUCUCGUACCUAAAAGAGUUCAUCUUUUAGAGUUAGAUAUUCCAUUACAUUCAGCUGUUCAACUUUUUUUCUUCCACAACAACUUUUUGAACGCUACAUUUAGCUAGUCAAUCAAUUGAACUACUAAAAUUCCUCAAAUAUUCAAUUCAUAAUUAGAGAAAGAGAAAAUCACCUUGAGCUGAUUAGUAAUGGAAUCUUCCUGGUUGGUCGGAGCAAGAAUAUCAGACCCAGUUGCAGAUGUUGACCCGGAAAUUGCAAAGGAGUUGUGGGUCGUCAGCCACGAAUACUUGUUGAAUGGCAAACCUUUUACCUUUCAACCACAAAUAAAAGUAAAAAAUUCAAUAUACCAUUAAUGAAAAAAGAAAAAAAAUGAAAUAGUUAGAAUUGGACUUAUAAUAUAUGAAAUUCACCUUGGUGGUAGGAAUAGUGGGUUGAAUGCGAGUACAUCUGGGUCGGGUAUUGCCAUUAGCAGGACAAGUAGAGCAUACUAAUCCUUCAUCACAAUUACUGUCGGUACAAGUUUCUCCAAUCUGUGAUUAAUCAAAUAUCCAAAACAAAUAACAAAUUCAUGAAUGCGAUCUUAAGUGAGAUCUAAUUAAGAUAAUGAACUGUUUAAGAACAACAUAAUCAAUAAAUUACCUUUAGGCAAGAACAAUGUUGGAAUAAGAUAGAAACGGUGAUACAGAGAAUAAGAAACUUCAUAGGUAGACGGAUGAUCUCCUGCAAAAUAGAAAAUAAAUAAAUGCAAAGAUUUUUUCAUUAUGAGAAUUUGAGAUAAUUAAGAGUAAUUAGCAGUAAGAAAUUGAGAUUAAGAGAUUGCAUGCCUUCAUCAUGUAGGCUCUGAGGUUCUUCUCUCUCUCCAAAAAUCUCCUAAAUCAGUUUUUAUAAAUUAGUAAGUUUCUCUCUAAUUGUCCCCCUUUUUUAGGAUAUAAAAAAAAAAAAACACGUUUGUUUUACUUUCAAUAGGAAACAGAGAGCUGACCAACCGUUGAGGCUGUUUGCAUGGAUUUAUAUUUUGAAUUGUUACAAGUCAAAAGUCAUCAAUAUAUUUUUUUUUAAUUUGAAAAUAAGGGUCUAAAAUUAUUGUUUUUUAAACUUAGAUUAUAUAAAAAUAUUUUUAAUUUUUAAAACAAUUUAAUUCCGCUAUGGGGAAUUUUGCCUAAUUGGAGUGUUCUUUCUUUUAAUCUCUUAACGUUUUUGUUUUUUUUUCUUAUCUACCGUACACACCUUUUUAUAAUUAACAAAUAGGCAUAAUACAUAUAUUAAAUUCUAAACUUGACUUCAAAUUUUAACUUUGACAUUCAAAACUUUUAUAAUGCACAAACAGACACUUUAACUAUCCAACUUUUAAGUGAAUAAACACAUGAGUCCUACAUGACACAAUACACGUAGAACACCACGUAAGAUAAAAAAAUUGACAUGUAGGACAUUUGUGUCUAUUUGUUUAACUUUAUACAAAUUUAAGUGUCAUUUGUGCACAUUCAAAGUUGAAUGACAUAAAUGUAAUUUGAAGCCAAGUUAAAGGGCACAUUUAUAUAUUAUGCCAUGCAAAUAAUUUGCUUAAAAAUCGGUCCAAACAACUUAUUUCACAAAAUAAAUAUUCGUAGUAAUAAAAUUACAAAGUAGAAAUCCUGUUAUAGUAUGCUAUGGUUAUCGAAUAAGACUAAAAAACUUACCGGAGUAUUGUCAAAAUUAUAAAUAUGAAAAAUUCGGAAUGAACUACUCCAACUACUAUUUAUGAUCCAUAAGAUGUCCUUGGUCAAUGAAGAUUUUUCUGGAUAUCUUGACAAAAUUUUUGACUUCUGCAAUGCCUUAGUUUUGCACCUGGAUAAUUUUCAAAAUCUUUUGAUAUAGUAUCUGGUAAAUAUUAUCAACUGCUUUAUGUUCAACACCAUCUCCAAGGCAACUUUGUUUAGUACUCUAGUCACUUUUUCAAACUUAAUAUAUCUUCAUCAAUAUCAAAAGAUGUUCCAUCAUCAACAGAUCUCCAGUUUACACCGGCUGUGCAAUGAGCAAGAGAUCCAUGAUUGACUGACUUGAAAACUUUCAAUCUGACAGAGGAAUCUGGACCCAGAGCACUUCCCCACAGAAUAUCAGAAGAAGAUUGAAUAUCUCUCUGACAGAGCACUCUCCAGUCAGUUUCUUUGGCAGUGGGGAAAGAAGUUCAAGUGUAGCUUUGCAACUCUGAGCUCUAUACCUGCCUUCACUGAUCUCAAGAAUAUCUGGAAGGGGAGCAGUGAAUGGGACAGCAUCAGAUGAGGAGGAUACUUCAACAGCUAUUUUCUGAUCUAAGUUUUCCAAAUCCAAGUAGCUUAAGAGAAAAGAAAGUGAUAAAACUACACGAUGGCGUAACACUCAAAUGAUUUGCACCAUCUGAUGCAUAAGUAACUCUUUCUUCCACCAACCAACCUUUCCACAAUUGGUCCCCCUUUUAGGGCAGCAGGUGGUGGCUGCAGCCAACAGGAAAGGGAAUGUGGAGUGGACAAAGCCACAUGUACAAAUAACAUCAAAUGCCAUGAAUGCAAAGUUAUGUUGCAUAAAAAUGUCGAUAGAGCAUGCUCUCACCGGUACUUACAGUCCAGAGAUUCGUGACAGGAUCCUCAAUAAAGAGAAGGACGAGGUGCCAAUCCUACAAGUAACAUUAAAAACCAUUUAGUGACCACAAGAAAUUCCUGUAAAACACAUCAAAGUAGCCUUAUGAGAUUAACACAAUCAGUACCAAUGGUGCCAACAGAGAGUAAAAUGCUACACAUCAUUUCAGCCAAUUUGAUUGCAAAUCUCACAUGGAAAAAAAAUGAACCAGUGACAUGCUCCAAUAGACAAACAAACAAGAAUCACACAUCGCCUCUACAAGUAACAUCAAGAACCAUUUAGUUACCACAAGAGAUUCCUGUAGAACACGUCAAAGUAGUUUAUGAGAUUAACACAAUCAGUAUGAAUGGUGCCAACAACGGGGGUAAAAUGCUACAAAUCAUUUCAGGCAAUUUGAUUGAACAUCUAACAUGGAACAAAAAUGGACAAGUGACAUGCUCUAAUAGACAAAACAAACAAGAACCACACCUAAACUAACUCAAUUCAAUAAAAUAAAUCCAAACCUCACAUUCUUUUCCCAACCCAACCCAAAACAAAUUAAAUCAUAAAAUCCCAAGAAAAAUUCAUCUUGAACUUUUUUAAAAAAAAAAUAGGUAACUAAAAAACAAAUUAGUGAAAUUCAACAAAGGUCUUUGAAGGCUCCAAAGUUGAAUCAUAUAAAGAUAUGGGACAGUUUAAGUUCAAUGGAAACAGUGGAUAUAUCUGAGAUCUACUUCGCUUCUCAAUGCAACAAGCACUGUCAAAACUCAUAACUAUGUUAAUAAGUAAUUUUAUGUAUUGGUCCUCUGAAAACAAAUUUUGAAUUGAUACGUGCAUUACGAAGGUCAUGGAGAACAAAAACACUGUUAAAAACAAGCAUCUGAUAUAGACAAUGUUAACCAAAGAUUAGUUUUUCGUUUUUCUUUGGAUAGGAAAAUAUACUAAAGUAAGUAAGUGGAUACAAAAAUAUUGAAGGACCUGCAAAUUAAAUAUGGUUGUUAGGGAAACAGAUGGUAGAAAAGAUAACCUAUCAAAUCUCUUAUCCAUCAAUUUGGGCCUUUAUACGCUCAUUGCGUAAAAAUCAGGACCUGAAAUGUAUCCUGAGAGCUUGAAUGAACCAUCACUUGCAUUCAAUUUGUUAAGGGAGGUCAGUUGAAUCCCAAACCCACUGGACAAUUUUGGCAAUGGAGAAUGAGAGGUACAUGUGCAAAGCACGUCAUCCUCACUGAAUGCAAUGAACAAAACCUAAGAAACCAGACAGAAAAUAUCUUUAAGCUAGCUAGUGUAACAAAGACGGAUCGGACCUUUCAAUAUCAGCAAUUUUGAAGGAGACACUGGAUUGCACAAGGGUGAUUCUCAGCAGAGUCUCUUCCAGAGAAUGCAAGACCUUCUUUUGGCUUCCAGAUUAUAUAUGCAAACCAAAAGAUUUUAGAAGUAAAGUAUGUAAAUCAGUAAUUUUCAUUUGUUUGAAUUGUGAGAAAACUAAAAGUACUUGGAGUGCAUUUGCUUACUUCGAACUGGUUCGUUAUAAAAUACAUCACCAACAAUGACUGCAAAGAGAAAAAUCCUAAGAGAAACUCCUUAUUAGCAAACAGUCAACUCAUGCAUCAGAUAGGCUUAUACGGAAUUUUACCUGUAUAAGCCUAUAUCAUCAUUUGUUAUUAGUGAUGAAGAUACUAUGUUUGAAAAAAGUAACUACAGAAUAUACUUGUUCAUGCACUCAGAAACCAAGAAUGGCCAUAAUGGACUAUGCAAGAACAAAAUAUACCUGAUCAAUUAUAGCAGGUGUUGUGCUUGCCACAAUGGGAAUAAACUUCUUAUCAACCUGUUCGAGAACUUUGGCACCCUUAAUGCAGUUUUUAUCAAUGGUAUCAGGAACCAAUGAAAUGCAACACGCCAGAAGUGACACUCAGUAUAGUAUCCUGAUUCUUAAGAUUAUCUGUUCCUCUUCCAGUACCGCUCUGCAUCUCAUAUUGGGAAAGACAGAAGUCCAUCAUCUUAACAAAAUAGAGAAGAAGUCGCAAAAACAUCCGAGAUAUAGCUAAAGUACUCAACUGUAAUCUCUAGGGAGUCCCCACUAUUUUAUACCAGAAUCUAAGAAACUUCGAGUUUUUAUUGGUGAAAAAUUCUGAAAAAUUGAUAAAAGAGGUCAGGCAAGAAAAUUUUAUUACAAGAUCAAAACAUAAGCAAGAUGGGAUUUGAAAGAGACUAUGUGGCCUAGGAGAUUCAGAAAGAGACAUUGUAAUUUCUAAUGCUUUCAUGAUUAGUAAGAAUGCAAUUUAACAUAAUCUUGAAACAUAGGUGAAAGAAAUGAAGUUAAUUAGCUGAAACAUGCACUAGGAAAAUUCAGCUCUUAUUAGGUUAGAUACAAAUGACGGUUUACCUUCUUUUGACUGCCCAUCGUGUGGACCUGUGCAUGUCCCCCCUUGAGCUUCUAAUUUGCUAUUCCAGAUGUUAACAAGUUUCCUUUUCACAUUUGGCCUGAAGAAAGAAACAUCAGAUCGUGUGAGUUAUUGACAUAAUUAGUUGAGAUAAUAUCAGAAAGAGACCUAACGCUCCCAAGAAAUUUGAUAACAUAACCUUUCAACAGAAAAAUACACCGUCCCCACAACUUGGGGUGGAAGAUUGAUCAUACUUAUGGAAUGACGGCUGUGAAAGCUCCCAGAAGAUAGCUUCUUGAGAAUUAUGUAGUCUCCUUACUGCUCUAGGUUAUGCACCAUGUAAAAGAACAUUAAUUAGUAGCUCAUGUUUUCUGUCAUCAUUGAUUAUUAACACAAACAAGCACUCAAGGACAAAUUAACUAGCAUAAAUUGCACAUCAUGAACAGUCUUAAUUUUAAUCAUCAUCCGGCAUGGCACAUCACAAAGGGUUGUGUUUGACACAGUCGAAAUUAACUUCUUAUCAGCCUGUUGGAGAACUUUGACACCCUCCAGGUUUUAUCAGUGGAAUAAGGAACCAAUGAAUCACCAAAAAUAUGCAAGACGCAAAAGUUACAUUGAGUACAGUAAUCCUAAAUCUUCAGAUACUCUGUUCAGUACCGCUCUGCAACUCAUAUUGGAGAAGAAAAAAUUCCAUCAUCUUAACAAAAUAGAGAACAAGUCACAAAAAUAUCUGAGAUAUAGCUAAGGUACUCAAUUGUAAUCUCUGGACUGCAGUCCUUCCAUUUUGUCCCAUAAACGAAGAAACUUUGAGAUAUCGUUCGUGCAAAUUCUGAAAAUUUGAAUAAAUAUGUCAGGCAUGACCAUUCUAUUACAAGAUCUGAACAUAAGCAAGAUGCAAUUAUAUAGCCUACGAGACUUAGAAAGAAACAAUUUGAUCUCUAAUAAUUUCAAUAAUUAACUGAAACAUGCACUAGAAAACUUCAGCUCUUAUUCAGGUCAGCAACAAAUGACAGGAAUGCUUUUACCUUCUUUUGACUCCCCAUCGCAUGUACAUCUUUUGACUCCCUAAAAAAGUUCAAACAAAUUCUUGAACAUCUUUAACAUCCGCUGAGAAAAUGACAACACAAUUCUUUUGAAUUUAUUGAAUUUCGUUAAUAUUUGCAACGUCAUAUUCUUGAAAACUACCCUUUCUUUGAUUUCCUUAAACUAUACCGACAAGUUCUUGAAUUUUUCUUUAAGAUUAUUCAUGCAAGAAUUCUUGAUUUUCUUAAUAUAUGUCUAUAAGAAUAUCAAUGUCAAUACAAAAAGCCAACAAUUCUUUAAUUUUUUUCUAAAAAAGCGCAAGAAUUUUCCUUCUCUUUUUUAGUGGAUGGAAGAAUAUCUGGGAAGACCUCUUUAUUAGUGGGUGGAACAAUACCUGGGAAGACCAGUACUAUUACUUGAGCAGAUAAGAACCGCGGGAAAAUUAGUUUAGGGUUUCUUCUUUUGAUACCAACUUCUUGAUUUUUGUAAAAAAAGAAGGGUAGAAUGCAUACAAGAAUUCUACUCUAGUACUCUAGUAGAUAAUGGAAAGAACACCAAUAGAUUGAUCGCCGGGAAAAUCGAUUUAGGGAUUCCGAUGGACAUCGUCAUCGGAGAGUUAAAAGGGUUUUGAUCGACAUCGUCAUCGGAGAGUUGAGAGCCGAAGUACUAAGACAGGAAAAUCGAUUAAGUGGUUUCGAUUGACAUCGUCAUCGAAGAGUUAAAAGGGUUUUGAUCGACAUUGUCAUCGGAGAGUUGAGAGCUGAGAGCCGAACUGCCGGUGAGUGUAAAUGACGGUGGUUUCUUUUAAAAUGGGCAGGGGGGGGGGGGGCUUCUUUAUAUAAUGCAGAUAGAUUUCAAAAUAGUUAAAACACGCAGAAAAAAAGAAAACAAAAAAUUAAUACAGGCGUAAAAAAAUAUAGUUAGGCUCUAAUUUUUUAAAUUCCAAAAAGAAAAAAAAUGAAUUAGGCUGAUGCAUAAAUAAUGACUUCUUUAAAAAUUCUUAGUUAUAAUUAAAUAUAAAUAUUUACAACUUAAAUAAAAAUAAAUUAAGGUAAAUUAUACAAAUAUCAGCCCAACACAUUUAUCUUUUUCUUGUGCAUUAUUCCUCCUCCUCCUCCCUCGUUUGUGUCUUUUCUUUUCUUCCCAUUUUUCAUUUAAAUUUGAGAUUGUUUCGAGUUGAUCAAAAUUAAAUAAUUAGUGUAUAUUUCAUAUAUAAUCAAUAUAUUAUGUAUAGUUAAAUUAGUUUUUAGAGUGUAUAAAUUUGUUAAGAUAAGUUAUAAUGGAUAGUCUAUAAUUUAUAUGAUAUUUGACAAAUUAUACCAUAUAAAUUAUAUUAUUAUAUGACAUUUGACAGACUAUUUUAUUUAUUAUUAGAGUUUUUAGCUUCUUUUUUAAAAAUUAUUAUUCUUAUUUUUAAUUUUAAAAAUAGGUGCUUAAGGUGAUUAUUAGAUUCAUAAAUAUAUAUUUUUUAUUUUUUAAACUGUGCAUCAAAGUCAAAAUUCAAAAAUAAAUAAAAGAAUAGUUUAACUUUAAAUUUUUCAUUCUACUAUUGAUGAGAUGAUUUAAACUACAAUAAUAUCUACUUUAUUAAACCUAUUUUUAAGAUUUAAACCAUAAUUUUUUAUUUUUUUUUAAAAAAGUCAUUUAUAGAUUUUGUGGCAAUUUUUCUUUUUAGAAAAAACAUUAAUUGUUCCAAAAGAGAGUAACAGGCCCAAGGGAUGAGUUCAACAUCACAUGUACAAUCUCAUUGGCUGAAAAAACGAAUAUUUGUUUGUGUUUCAUCUUUUAGAUUAAGGAAAAAGGCCAAAUACUCUUAAACUAUUUGAAAAGGUGUAAAUAUACUUUACUGAUAUCCUUGUCAUCCAACUUUUGAUCCAAAUAUGUCCUAAUGGACGUUAGUUGCUAUAUAAGAUAUAUCCAACUCAUUUUUCAUUUCUUUAAACACAUGGAAUUGUCAUGUCAUUUUGACCUUACCACAUAUUAUAUGAAAAUGAAAAGAUAUUCGGACUCAUAAACACCUAAUCUGACCCAUAAAUCAACCACCUUUUAAAUAAAUUAUCCGACCAAUUUUCAAUAAUUUUGUUUAAUUUUUAUUUUUUCGAUAAAUUCCGAAAAUGAGUAAUUAAUUAAUAAAAAAUAGAAAAAUAUGAAAAAGUAUAAAAUUAACGCCAAAAAAUCACAAAUAAUUAUAGUAACCUUAAAUUCAAUUUAAACAUUUUUUUUAUUUUUUUGAUAAAUUCCGAAAUGAGUAAUUGAUUAAUAAAAAGUAUGAAAAAAAUAUAAAAUUAACACUAAAAAUUAAAAAAUAAAUACAGUAACCUUAAAUUCAACAAUUUCAACAUUUUUUAAAUUUUUUAUUUUUUCAACAAAUCCCAAAAAUGAGUUUAUUAACAAAAAAUAUGAAAAAAGUAUAAAAAUUACGCAAAAAAAUUCACAAAUAAAAAUUAGGAAAAUAGGGAAAAAAUAUAAAAUAAAAAAAAUUGUUGAAAUUAUUGAAUUUAAGGUUACUAUAUUUAUUUGUGAAUUUCAACGUAAAUUUUCUAUUUUGUUUCCAUAUUUUUUCGUUUUCAUUAAUAAAUUACUCAUUUUGGGAUUUGCCGAAAAAUAUAAAAUUUUUUACAUAAUUGUAGAUUGAAAUGUUAUUAUAUUUAGGGAUAAUACCCAAUUACCCCCUAACCUAUACCCAAAAUCCCUGCGACGCACACCUUAUCUUUGAUGAGGGUCUAUUACUCCCUCCAACUUUUUUUUAAGUAAUUAAUUACCACUUUCGUGCCCACAUGGCAAUAAUAAUUUGAAAGGUUUGUUCAACACGCGCCGGGACCCACUUUUUCAGCUUUCAAAAAAGUAACUUUUACACUUUCCAAGUUUGAAAAGCUGGCGUUUUAUGUUUUCCAAAUUAAUUUUACCAAAAAAAAUUAAGUAACAAGGAAAGAAAGAGGGAAAGUGCUGCAUGUGUGGAUCGAUUUCAAAGGAUAGAAAUUUGAUUUCCAACUGAAAUUUGAUUUUCGAUGUUGGAUUUUGAUAGUUAAUUUUCGAUGUUGGAUUUUGAUAGUUAAUAAUGGAUGGAGUUUCUUAAAAAAUGAAGAACCAUGAAAAUGGGGUUAUUUUUUCAAAAGAGGAAGAAGAACUGCUUUUGAGAGAGACAAUAAAAUUUAUUUUUGAAUUUUUUUUUCAAAUUGCUUUGACACGUGGCUAACUUUUAUUGGUCAUUGUUAGCCAAAAUCUGCACUCACGCGCCCUACAUGGGUGAAAUCACGAUUAUUGCCAUGUAGGCACGAAAGUGGUAAUUAAUUACUCAUAAAAAAAAGUUGGAGGGGGUAAUAGGACCUCAUCAAAGAUAAGGUGUGUCGCAGGGAUUUUGGGUAUAGGCUAGGGGUAAUUGGGUAUUAUCCCUUAUAUUUAUUUGUGAACUUUUGGCGUUAAUUUAUAUUUUUUUCAUAUUUUUUAUUAAUCAAUUACUCAUUUUCGAGAUUUAUCGAAAAAUAAAAAAUUAAAAAAAAAUUGAAAUGUUAGAUUGAGGUUACUAUGUUUAUUUGUGAUUUUUUAUUGUUAAUUUUAUAUUUUUACAUAUUUUUCCUGUUUUUUAUUAAUCAAUUACUCAUUUUCAUACUCAUUUUUAGGAUUUACAACAAAAAUAAAAAUUAAACAAAAUUGUUAAAAAUGGGUGGGAUAGUGAAUUUAAAAGGAGCUGAUUUAUGGGUCGGAUUAGGUGUUUAUGAGUCCAAAUAUCUUUUCAUUUUCAUAUAAAUGUUAUGUGGUAAGGUCAAAAUGAAAUGACAAUUCCAUGUGACAUUUAAAGAAAUGAAAAAUGAUCGGAUAUAACUAAUAUGACAACUAACGCCCAUAAAGACAUAUUUGGACCAAAAGUUGGACGACGAGGGCAUGAAUGAAUCAAACUUUAAACGUAAGGUAUAUCUAUACUUUUUCAAAUAAUUUAGGUACAUAUUUGACCUUUUUCUCUUUUAGAUUAACUUAUACAGUACUAUACAUGAAAAAACAUUUUCCGCAGAAGUUAUUGUUAGUUUAGGUGUUUAAAUUAUUUCUAUAUCCUUCUUUCUGUGCUAUAUUUACUGAAACCACCACUUUAGUAAAUUCUUUUUUUGGAAACGGUAAAAAAGAAGUUAGAAAAUAAUAAAUUAAUUUUAACAAAGUAAUUAGGUUUUGUUCUUUCCCACUAAAAGAAUUAUCUAUAUUCUAUUAUCUAUUGAAGGUUGCAACUACUUACUCACCUUGUAAAUUUCAUUAUUUUCAAAAUAUAAAUAAGUGAAACUUAAUUUUUCAAAGGGCAUAUAAUAGAAUCUCUAGAUUAACAGAGCAUAUAAUAGAACUUCUAUAAAUCAAUAGUAUUGCAAUCAUAAAAUAAUUUUAUAAAAAUAUAGUUUAAUCAAUAAAUUAAUAUUUAUUAAUUUGGAGAGUAUUUUUCAAAUUUAAUGAAGUUUUCAGGAAUUUAAACAAAUACAUUUGUAAAAACGAUAUUCAUGAAUUCGAGCCCAUGAUUAACGACUAUAGCCUAUUGGAUUACUUGAUUAAAAAUGAAAUGAUAAAUAUUAAGAGCCAAAAACUUAAAAGAAAUUAUGAAUACUAUCGAAAAAAAUAAUAUUGUUGGUGUGAUUGAAGACCAUAUUACAUUUCCUUUGAAACCAGUUACACAUAAUAAUGUCACUUAUUGUAUCUAGACUCUUCAUAAUUUUUUGUGCAGUUCGAGAAGACAACAUCAUAUAUUUCGUAGAUGUAUUAAGAAAAGUUGAAGAUAACUUCAAUUAUAUGUAAUUUUUUAAAAAAAAUACUAAAAUCACACUUUACUGAAUUAUCUUAGAUAUUUUUAAAUUUUUAAAAGAAUUGUUACUUUAUGAUAUUAAUAAAAGUAUGAGACUAUAUAUUUGUAUAAAGUCUUUGAAAAAUAUAAUAUCUUAUCAAAAUUAAUGUUUUUUACAGUGCCCCAAAUCAAGAUCGAAAAAUAGUAUUUAUCUUAAAGAAUUUAAUAAUUUAUUGAAUAUUAAUUUAGAGCUACUGUAAUUUGAUUUUACAAAUUAAUCUUCAUCAAAUUUAAAAAAAAAAAUUAGGAAAAAGAAAAACAGGUAUUUUUAGUCCCAUAUUAUAAGCGAGAAAGACUUUAUUAAAUUAGAGAAAAUUUGGAAAAUCCAUUAGCUUAAACCGUAAGCAACACGCUUGCGGUUUAAGUGUGCGUAUAAAUUAUGCAACCAAACUCUUUCUUCUUCUCUAUUUAUAUACCGCCAUUCCACUAUAUUGACAAUCAACAGAGUUCUCUUCUUCUCCGUCUCAUGUCGAUAUUUUUUGGAAACACCGCUUCAAGUAAGUUGAACUUCAUUCUUUAUGCUUUUGAUACAUUGUGUUCUGUUUUUUUUAUGGGUUUUUUACUGAAUUUUCUUGAUAACUAAAGCAUAUUGUAGUUUAAAUCAAGUUCAACAAUCGAUGUAACUGGGAUCCAAGAAAAGAGGCAACAUAGUAGUAUAACAAGAAUGUGCUUUCACACAAUUUUCAAAUUUCUUGCAUGUUCUUCAAAACUUAAUUUUCUUUCUAGCUUGAGUUUGGUACAUUACAAUGUCUUAUAAACUGUAUUUUCCAUACAAUGCUCUAUAACCUCUGUUUUUCCAAAUACGCUAAGAAGAAAGACCACAUAGGCUAUUGCAUGGGAAAUUGGGAAUGACAUACAUAAGUGAGGAUUGACAUAAUAUAUAGAUGCUACACUUAAUAAUGUCGAUUUCAUGAAAGUAGAGAUAUCAUAUUUACUUUUCUAGAGAAGUAAGGCGGCUUUGGAAUUGGUCUAAAAGUUUAAUCUGCUCCUUGUGGUAGUAGCUAUGCUUAUUGAGCUGUACUCUUCUAAAAAAAUAAAAUGUUAGUAAUAACUGUAAUAUCUCAAUGGGAUUUCGUAUGGUGGGUGGGUAGUGUAUUGCUUACAGUUUCUGGAACAGCUAUUGUGGCAGCUAUUGAUGCAUGUAGUUGUCUUUAAUUAGCGAUUAGAAAAUCAAUCCAAUCUGUUUACCUAACUGAAGUACCGUUAAGACUUUAAUGCAGCAACGAAUGCUACAUCUGGUCAAACACAAAACUCAUCUACGAAUUCGUCUACUUCACCGACAUUUGGAAAGAAAUAUGACUUUAAUAGUGUGGCCAAUGAACCUUUGGUGGGGUCUAGGGAUGUCAAUGUCUCGGACUCCUCCAUAUUUGGAUAUCCAAGAGCUCCUGCAUUUGGUGUUUCAAGCAACUCACACUUUGGCACCGCAAGACUUGAUUCAUACUCCUUUGGACAACCGGCAGUAUCUAUGUCAGGGAGCAAAGGUGAACUCUAUUGUCCAUUUUCUCAUGUAUUGGAGCAGAUUAAUCAAUAUUUUGUUCUGUUAUCUAUAUGGUCUGAAAUCCCUGCUGAGCUUUUAUUAAACACUACUGAGUACUAUUUAUUUCUACUUCAUAUUUUUGGAUAGUUUAAGUGUUUAAUCUUGAUUAACUUUGCAACCCAGGAGAAGAAAGUACACCGCCUUUUUUCAUGAGCUCUGGUUUUGGGAAGUCAACAUUUGGCAUUAAUCAGAAAGGAAGUAGAAUAGCAUCAUAUAUUGCAACUCCAGAGAACGAUAUCACAGGAUUCAGUGGCGGAAAAAUUCAAUCCAUUUGUGGAAUGCAGGCUUAUAAAGAUAAAAGCCAAGAGGAGUUGAGGUUUGAGGACUACCAGUUAGGUGAUAAAGGUAUACUUGUUCUCUUAUGUGAUUCAGAUUAAGCUUCUUCAAAUAUAUUAUUGCUACCUUUAUAUGGGCAUUUCUUCCUGCAAUUAAGUUAAUUUCAAACAAAUUCUUUGGUCUCUGUCCAAAUACACUCAGAAGAAAGACCAUUUAACCUAUUGGUAUCUCCAUGAGGUAAUUUAAAAAGGUUGUCCUCCUCCCACCUGUGAAAAUGAACUUGUCUAAUAUUUCAUUCUUCCCCAGGUUACGCAAUACAAAAGGUAAAUUCAAAAAUCUGGGCAUUUGAAUUUAUAUGGUUGUUUGGGUGCAUUUUAGAGAUGAUUUCACCUGGUGGAGAAGGCAACGGUGGUGGGAAUAUUUGGUUGCCUAUGGAAGAGGAGUAAUCUUUUAUAACGAAUGUCCAUACUGGUAAUGAGCUUAAAAUGUACCUUUGGCACACAUGCAUGUCCAUUUUUUGAAUGAUUCAUCAGCACAUUGUUUAUUUGGUUUUAGUCAUUUGAUUAGGUGCAUCUAGAACUGGAGACAUCAACAGGAUACAUAUGACAACUCCAAUUGAUAUUUGAUAGUUGUAGGCUUGACCAAGAAUAAUCUACAGUUUUUUUAUAACCAGGAGUAACCUUAACUUCACAUUGUAUAUGCAUCUUUGGAGCAUAGGUGAUUUUUAAAAAAUGCUUUGUUUGAUUUAUUUUUAAUGAUAAUGAAAAGGCUAAAAGAGAGAACAAUACUUACCAAUCAAAUAAAACAAAGAGGGAAAGAGCAGAAAUUGAAAUAUGGAACUUCGUAUGAAGUCACAGUCAAAAUGCAAAAAGGUAACAGUGAGUGAUUCAAUCAGGCUGACUGUUUUCAGUACAUAAAAUAAAAUGAGAGCACAUGAGUAGGAACAAUGGCCAAAGAAUAUCAAAGCAGGAGAACAGAAUUAGGAAGUUGUCCGAUGCAUGAGGAGUUUAUACAACCCUAUAAAUCUGAAAACGGUGAAAGGCGUCUGAAAGAACUAAGUCACAGCGACAAGAGGUGGGUUGCUGUGAAUUUGUGAUGCUAGGCUCAGCUUACCGAGUAAUGUUGCAGCACUAAUAACAUGCUUUAUUUCAGAACAUUAAUUUAUUAGAGUGCUAAAAGAAUGUGAUCUACUUCAUCUGACAAGUGAAAUAGCAAAAUAGGGAAGAGAUUGCAGAGAUCACAACUACUAGGGUACAACAUGUCAGUUAACCAAGUAAUCCUCCUUUAAACAUGACAAAAUAGAAGUUUACGGAGAACUAGGACCGAGGGAUGCACAGACAAGUUAGAACUCGUCUUCAUCUUCUUCUUUUUUUAUGACAAGGUAACCCACACAGGAAUGAUCUACAGACACUAUUUGAGUAUGUUAUUCCCAUGAUUUCUCUGCGAAUGGAUUAAAUACAUCUUUCUUUCUUGCCUGUGGCCCAGGUGAGGAAUGGCAUUAUAUAUAUGUUACACUUAUACUGCUAUUUUCAUGAAAGGAGGGAUAUCAUAUUUACUUUUCUAGAGCGGCGAAGCGGCUUUGGAAGGUCGAAAAGCUAAAUCUUCUCCUUGUGAGAGUAGCUAUGCACAUUGAGCUGUACUAGUCUCCAAAAAUGUUAGUAAUAACUGCAAUAUCUCAGUGGGAUUUCUUAUGGUGGGUAAUGCUAUUGCUAACUAUUUCUGGAACCAAUCUUGUGCCAGCUAUUGAUGCAUUGUAGUUGUAUUUAAUUAGUCAUUAGCAAAUUAAUUCAAUCUGCUUUUCUAACUGCAGGAACGUUAGCAUUUAAUGCAGCAACGAAUGCUACAUCUGGUCAAACACAACUUAUAUUUCCGGGCUCAUCCUUUUCACAAACAUUUGGAAAGAAAUAUGACGUUAACAGUAUGACCAAUGAACCUCUGUUUUGGUCCAGGGAUGCCAAUGCCUCAGGCUUCUCCAAAUUUGGAUCUUUACAAGCUACUUCAUUUGGUGUUUCAAGCAACUCACACUUUGGCACCCCAAGUUUUAAUUCCUAUUCCUUUGGCCAACCAGCAAUAUCCAUGUCAGGGAUCAAAGGUUUGCUUUAUUGUCCAUUUUAUCAUGUGUUGGAGCAGAUUAUUCAACAGUUUAAGGGAGAGUUUUGUUCUGUAAUCUAGAUGAUCCGAUUGAUAUAUUCAUAUACUGUGCAUUAUUAUAUGCUCUAAAUUGAUCUGAAAUCAAUGUUGAUCUUUUAUUAAAUAUUACUAAGUACCAUUUAUUCCUACUUUAUGUUUUUGAAUUUCCUGAGUGUUCAAUCUUUUAGAUCAAACUUGCAAAGCAGGAAAAGAAAGUACAACACCUUUGCUCCAGAACUCUGGUUUUGGAAAGUCCGCAUUUGGUAUUAACCAGAAAGGAAGUAGAACAACAUCAUACAUUGCAACUCCAGAUAUAGAUAGCACAUGUCUCUUUGGUGGACGAAUUCAAUCCAUUUGUGGAAUGCAGACUUAUCAAGAUAAAAGUCAGGAGGAGUUGAGGUUUGAGGACUACCAGUUAGGUGAUAAAGGUAUCCUGAACUUUUUCUCUUAUCUGUAGAUAAUAAAAAAUCUACCUUGUAUUUCAUUAACAUUUUUAUUCUUCAUGGGUGAAUUUGCAGGUCAGGAAUGUGGUUCUUCAUUUAGUGUUUCCACCGCACAGGGAUUUGGUCUCAUCAACAACACGAGGCCUUUCAUAUCACCAGCAUUAAACCAAUCAACUGUUGAUCAACCUUUUUAUUCCCAUUUUCCAAGUACAUUUACAGUGGAAAGAGCAGGGGUUGACUCUCUAUCAAAAAAUUCUACCUCAUUAGCACAACAGGCCAUUUCCCAUAUAUUUCCCCCAAACCCGUCAUUGUUGAACUCUUGUGGCACUAGAAAUAGAGUGCAAUCUACUGCCUCAGAUGUUUCCUUUUCUCCGUGGAACAAUUCAAAUCAGUUUGCACCUUUUAAACCAGCUUCCAGUUCUUCCACUGCCUUCACUACUCCAUUAAGGAACCCAUUUUCUUUAUCAACAUCUGCCCCUCUAUCUCCAUGUUCGGUCUCACCUUCCACAUAUCCUUUGUUAACUAAGCCAUCAGGCCAUGAUUUUUAUCAGAAGAACUCUUUUUCUACCACUCCUGUUUUAACUACAGGAGGCGCUUCACAAUCCACGUUAUGCUUGAACUGCCUAAAGCAGUCACAGCCUACUCCACCAGGACUUUCUAAUGUUUCAAGCACUCCACUUGCUGCGAAUCAAAAUACUGUAAGUGUUUCUGAACGUAUAUGCAAUUAGAUCUCAUUUAUAUAUCUCCGCCAUUUGCUUUCUGUCAUGAAUAAUAUAAAAGGCACCUUGUGGUCUAUAAAAUCGGUGAAACAUUUCUAUUGCGGUGUUGUACAUCUAAGUUGUUGCCUACUCUUGCAGCCUCUGUUCAUUGGUCCUCUGCAGCCAGAAAUAACUCCUAAAGUUGGAACAACACUCCCAACAACCAAUGCUUCUCACCCAACAACAGGUACACUUACUGCAGUAUGUUUUGCUCUUUUUGAUGUAGAUAGUAUGUUGGAUUGUAAUCAAUGUAACUAAUCCUCCUGGCACCUGUUUCCUGUAAGAAGGUGCUAGUUGCUCAGAAAUUGGACAAGGAGUUGGUCAGCAGCCAAGUAUGAAUGGCCAACAGUGAGUAUCACACUUAACUAUCUGUUCUUGUACUUUACUUCGUGUGUUAUUAGUUGCCUAAAUUUGACUUCUAGACUUUUCAAACAUUCUUUUUAUUUCUGCUGCCUCAGUUAUUACUGCACAGUCCUCUCGUUUUAGUCUGAUCGUUUUAUUCUUCCUGUGUCUCUUCUUUCUCUUGCCUCCGAGAUCUUUUUCUUUUUGUACUUUCUCAUGCACCAGCUAUAUCAUAACAUAUUUUCAGGUCUUACUUUCCGGUCAUCAUGGAAGUCAAGCCAUCACCAAAUAUGCCUCCUGCCGAAACACAACCUUCGGACCAAAUCUCAGUUGAGCACCCGUAUUUGGUAACAUCCAUCCAGUAUGGAAUUUCUAGUUUACCUGUAAGUUUCACAUUUCUGAACAGUAAUUAUAAUUAAUGUUGCUCCUGGAUGUGUUCAUUGUUCUUAAACCAAGUAUCAUACUGUCUAGACGUUACAUGAUGUACUGGGAAUCUGGGAUGCCUCGUUACUAUUGUUGUAAUGUUAUGCACCUUGAAAGACAGAUUUAUUUGUCACCUUCAUAAUGUUGUAUAUUUAUGCUUUCAUGUCAAGGUAGAUGUAACUGCAUCUAGUUGCCUUUGCUUUAUACUAAAUAAAUUCCAGUAAUUCUCCAAUCAGAUAUAAACAUCAGUAUAGUUGUUCAAAUUCCAAACAGAACUCUUCAAAGUAUCAGGCAUGCUCAUGUUUUUAUUAGCUUCACUAUAUUGGUAAUGCUUAAGGUGAAAAGAACAGUUGUAAGCUAUUAUGAAAAAUUAUCCUUUUGUUGCUUGCAGGUUUCUGACAACCCUGCUCCGGUCAGACGAAGAUCUUCGUUGAUAAUUCGACAUUCAUCUCUAACUCAUCAUAGGUUGCCACCUCAGAAAUACAAACCUACAAGUGAUAAACCAAAGGUGAGAAGUAUAAUUUUAUGUGAGACUUGUUUAGUAGUUCGUGGCCAUCCUUUGGUUGAUGGACCAAAAUUUAAGUUGCAAUCAUAUGGAAAUAUUUGCAAGUAUGGGUAUCCUUUCGGUGAAAAAAUACAGGACAAAGUCCAUAUUUUCCUCUAAUCCAAGUAAAACACUGGCAAAUCUAACAGGAUUAUAAUAUUUGUCUAUGUAGGUACCCUUUUUCAUGGAUAAAGAAAACGCUACUGGUGUACUAAAGACAGAAGUCAUCAUCAUUCCAAGGGAAAACCCAAGGGACUGGGUUCGUCCUACCACAGAAUCUCCACAAGGGGCUGAUACAUCUAUGGACAGUAAGCUUUUUUUUUUUUUAUGAACAUAUGCAUGCAUGCCUUCCUUUCAUUGAUUGGGUCAACUGGAUUCUAAAAGAUGCAUAAGUCAAUUAUCAUAGUUACUGUAAUGUUUUAGUUUGUGGAUUACAUAAAUAUCAGGUACUUGACAUUUUAUGUCUGCUCCAUCAAGAUCCCAUUUCAUUACAAAGCCUGGAAUCUCUAAUAGUUCAAAACUAAAACGAAUUAUACUGAUUGGUGAUUCGUUUACAGGAUUUUAGACACUAGAAAAUUAUCAUUAGUUAUCUAUUUGAUAUAUCCAAGGAUAUACAACUUGACUUUUUUGCUAUUUUACAAGUUCUGUUUAAAAUGUAGGGAUGCAUGACGGAGACAAAGUUCUUCAUAAGCUAAAGUUACAGUCUGAAGAGACGCAUCAUGAUAAUUGUGGCGAUGAUGAGGAUGUGGAUGGCAUAAUGCCAAAGCUUCAACGUGCUGAUUACUACACAGUUCCUCCUAUAGAGGAGUUGCUAUUAAAGGAGAAGGAAGAAGCUGGUUUUUGUUGCCACGUGAAGGACUUUGUGGUAGGAAGACAUGGGUACGGAAGCAUCAAGUUCUUGGGAGAAACAGAUAUCCGGAAGCUUGAUCUUGAUUCUGCUGUUCAUUUCAACCAUCGCGAGGUGAUCAUCUAUAUGGAUGAGAGCAAGAAACCCCCAGUUGGACAAGGCCUCAACAAACCAGCUGAGAUAACUCUCCUUAAUGUCAAAUGCAUCAACAAAUCAAGUGGUAAGGAGUACAGAGACGGACCAAUGGUCAACAAGUACAAAGAUAUGCUUAUUAAGAAAGCAGUAGAACAACAUGCAGAAUUUGUUUCUUAUGAUCCAGUGGAAGGGCAGUGGAAGUUUAGGGUAUCACACUUCUAAUUGAUUUUGUGGCAUAACCAAAUGUUUGAAUUUUAAGAUCAACUGAUAUGUUUUUAGAAUUAGCUCACUUUGAUUUUAUCCCACUCUUUUACGCACUUUUGUUCCCAGUUGGCCAAGUUGUUAUCACUGGAUUUCAUUCAAAGUUUACUCAUUUUCUGCAUCUCUUUCAAUGUUUUUCUCAAAUUAUUCUUUUCCUUUUUCACUUGUUUGUGGGUAAAUAGUUCUAAUUAAUAAAAUUUUGAAAUCGAAAAUAUUUUUUUAAAUUUGAUGUUUUUCCCAAAAGAAAAAUGUAACUUGAAAUUGAAAGAGAGUUUUGAAAAAUAUUUUUAUUAAUUUUUGAAAGAAAGUCAUUUUUCUUAAUUUUGAGGAAAAUGAAUUAAUUUGGAAAACAUUUUUCAAAACUUUUAUGCCAACCAAACAUGGAACAUUUUCCAGAAAAUAUUUUAUAUCAUACCAAACACACUCUUAAAGAAAAAUAAUAUUCAAAAUAGUUUUUUUUUAAAAGUAAAAAUAAAUAAGCUAUGAUAAGAAUAUCCGAAAAGGAAAAAUACUAAUAGUAAAGAUAGUCAAAAUAAAAAUAAUAAAUAAUAUUUUCGUUGAUUCUUGCAAUACUAAAAAAAUAACGUGUGAAAACAUUUUAAAAAAUAUUAUAAAUAUUAAAAUUAAACUCAAUCUUUUUUUCAAAAAAAAUCAUGACAUUAAAUCUAUUAAAUUUAAACUCUAAAUUUAUCCAGUUUAUUUGACACUAUUCAUAGGGAAAAGGGUCAAAUAUGCCCCUAAAAAUCCGACCCAUUAAACCCUUUUAUUACCCAUAUUUUAUGAUUCAAUUAUACCCCUCUUUUAAAUAACUUAUCCUACCCAUAUCCGACCCAAAACCCAUAUCCCUUUUCCCCCAAAACAAAUCCCUAAUUUCCUAAACUUCUUUUUCCCCCAAUUUCUGAAAUCAAGAAUAUCACUUAACCAAUUAAUUUAUCGUUUAAAUAAGAAGUAGAAUUUAUUAGCGGAGAGGGAUUUAUAACGAUCCACGACCAAAAGUGAAUGUAGAGCAAUGAUCAGUCAACAUAUGAAUAACCGAAGCGCAGUAAUCCAUUUUGAGCACAUAGAUAACAGAGUUUCUCAAAGCUAGAUUAUUUAAAGAUUUGCCAAAUUUUAUCCUACAAUCACUUGUGUUCUUGGGGAAAAGGAAGUUUAGGAAAUUAGGGAUUGUUUUGGGGGAAAAGGGAUAUGGGUUUUGGGUCGGAUAUGGGUAGGAUAAGUUAUUUAAAAGAGGGGUAUAAUUGAACCAUAAAAUAUGGGUAAUAAAAGGUUUAAUGGGUCGAAUUUUUAGGGGCAUAUUUGACCCUUUCUCUUUUGUAAUAUAAAUUCCACGAUAUAAUAUUAAAAUGACAUGGAAAAUCCAUUUGGGCAAUUAAAAAAAAGUAAAAUGCGCUGGAUAUUUUGAGGUGACCAACUAACGGCCAUAAGGGCAUAUUUGUACCAAUAAUUGAACGGCGAGGGUAUAAAUGGACCAAACUUUAAACGGGGGGCAUAUUCAAACCUUUUCGAAAAGUUUAGGGGCAUAUUUGACCCUUUUCCCCUAUACAUAUCAUUAUAACCAUAUAAUGAAAAAAAUGUACAUAUUAUGUAUGCUAAUCAUGUACAUAAAAAUUACUAAUUUACCAGUCAUUAGUUUAAGGCGUAAUCCAUCGAUGAUCUCUUAAACUUGGCACAAAUUUUCAUUUAAACACUUUAGUUUAAGGCGUAAUUCAUCGAUGAUUCCUUAAACUUGGCACAAACUUUCACUUAGACACUUAACUGAGUGAUGUUUAUUUUAGACACUUCAUGUAAGAUUUUGCUAUUCAUUUUAACACCUUUUUUUUAUUAUCAACAACAACAUAUAAUGUGUGUGAAUUACACUCGUCGAUGACGUGUAAAGUGGCCAAUUAAAUGACAACAUUUGUCAUCAGUGUGAAAAAUAGUUUUAAAAUAAAAACUGACCAAUAAAUUAAUGACACGUGAUAUUUUCUCCAAAUAAAAUUAAAAUAAAAUCAAGCCAACUAAAAAAAGCCUCCCACCCCCACCCAUGACCCCCCCCCGAUCGUCUUCUCCAAAACUCUCUCACUCGAUAGUGUUCUCCAAAUCAUCCCCGGACAAACCCCGAUCGCCUUCUUUAAAUACACUUCCAUCUUAUCCGCGUUAAUCAUCUUCAAAAUCCAAAAAACAAAAAAAAUUUCUUUCUCAUUUAUAUUCUGUUUUGCGGUCAUUAAAAUAGCCUUUGGCUCCAUUGCAUUGCUUUAUCCAAAUUCCUUUUCCAUUUUGCAUAAAUUAUCCUCACCCACGCUGACAUAUCGUGUUUCAUUGAAUUUACUCCCAUUAAAUUAUUAAAAUAAGCUUUUAUUAAAUCUUUCUUAAAUUUCACUUUGUCCUAAAUAUUAAAUUUUUCAUGAAAGAAUUAUAUGAAUGAGUUUAUUCUUAAAUUUUAAAAAUAUUUUUUGACAUUUUUGUUGGAAAAUCUUCAUUCACAAUGAGGAAAAUUUAAUUUGGUCAAAAUGGUGGCUGAAAAUAGGGAGGAAGAUGAAAAAAUAAUUAAAAGUUAACUAAAUAACCCUUUCACGCGCCUAUCAAUGAGUGUGCCACACCCAUCAUGCCAUAUAAGCAAAAGGCAUUAAAAUGACAGUGAGAUUCUAUAUUAGGUGUCUAUAAUGAACAUCGCUCCGUUAAGAUGUCUAAGUGAAAGUUUGUGCCAAGUUUAAGGGGCCACCGAUGGGUUAGACCUUAGUUUAACACAUCACACAUGGAACUUCAAAUGGUAAACUACGUACUUUGAUUACAUCUAUGGUUUAUUUCAGUCCACAUACUAAAGAAAUAUAGGUCGGUAUAGCCUAAAAUCCCUCUUAGAAACGGAAGAUGUGUUCUAAAUUUAAUCACACAUCGAAUAGGAAAUUAAUCUCUUUACGUGGACUUAAACAAGUCAAAAUAAUUUUUAGAAUUAAGAGCUUGUUUGGCUCAGCUUAAAAACUGGUCAAACUGACUUAAAAACUGAAUUUUGACUUAUUUAGCCGUUUGACAAUACUCAAAAUAGCUUAUUUUAAGUUAAAAAAAACAUAUAUUAAGCCAAAAGUUAAAAGCUGGGGUAGUGGUUUUUUUUUUUAGCUUAUAAGCUGUUUUAAGUUGACUACAUUUUUAUCUUUUUGCCCCUUAAUAUUUUUAUACAAUCUCCAAAUUACUCACGUAACCUUAACAUCUCUUUUUUCCAUUUUUCCUUUUUCACGUUUGGCAUAGCAACUUCAGCACUUUUAUCCAAACACAUAACUGCUUAUUUUAAAAAUAAGUUUCAGCACUUUCAAAAGUACUUUUUUAAAGCUGCUUUUAUUAAACUCAUCCAAACAGGCCCUAAGUUAAAUUUAAAAUUCAUAUUUACACAGUAUUUGAGUUGGAUCUAUCCCAAUUUUUUGUUUACUGAAGUUGAGGUGUGUAAAAAUCGAAUCAAUUAAUACAUCAAAUUGAAAAAAUGUUAUGGGGUCACUACUGUUGGAUUAACGGGAUAUUAAUGAUUCUAUAAAAUAAUUAUUGGGUUAUUGAUUUGGUACCAAUUUUUAGUAUUGCAUUAUUGGAUAAACUAAUAACCCAUUAAGAUGCAGAAUACUUAUACUAUGGGCAUUUUCUUGUUGUGUAAAUCGAAAAUCGAAUUCUUAAUGAACAAAAAUCGAUAAACUUUAAUUUGUUAUACAUAUAGUAAUAUCUUCUACAUCUACCAAUGAAGAUUUUGGAGAAGAUGAAAAGUAAGUCUUUCAAUGAAUAAUAAAAUUCAAAUAGUUCCAUGAAUAGUAGGACGCCGACAAAACUAAUGUAUCCUUUUAAAAAUUUAAAAUAACUUUUAAGUAUUAUUAUCUUUUUCUCUAAAAUUUAUUUUACGAUACUUAAAUUUAUUUUCAAUUUUAUCAAACAUUACAUAAUUUAUUUUUAUUUUUGUUAAACAAUUCAAAAGUUAAAAACUAACCAGACUAGACUAUCUUUAAAAGUUAAUCCGAACAUACUCUAAUCGAACGUUCCCCUAUCAAACUAUCUAGGGUUUUGGUAUAUAAAAGCGCCGACAACGUCCUGUACUAGAUCAGACCGCAUAUUUUCACGGUGAACCUCAGAGCUCCGGUUCCGAUUCAUUGAAAACUUCCUUGAAAAACACCGACAAACGUCUUCUUCUCGAUGGAGGAACAAAAUGGGACUGUAAAUGGUGUUAAAAUCAAGCUGGAGGAAGAAGAAACUAAUGACGACCUUAGAACUACUCCCGACCAUCAAAACGACGCCGGCGCUUCUCAGCCUCUUACCGGAGAUGGUGCUAGUCCUGGGUAUUUUUUUUUACUGUUUUGUCCUUUACGUUCUAGGCUGUACCCUUUUUCUUUUAUCUAAGACCCAUGCUGUAUGUUUUUUCUUCUUUUAGUAUUGUUAUUAGGGCUUGUGUUUAAUAGGUAUUAACUUGCAAGUGUUGUUAAUGUCGAGAUGAUUAAGACCUGAAGCUAGGUUGUAAGCUCCUUUCUCAAAGGAGGAAGGAAAACGAUAAGCAUAGUUAUUAAAUUGCUCUUAAUUAAACAAGGUGAAUAAAUAUGUUGAUGAUUAGGAAUAUAAAUUUAGAGUUGAAAUUUCAUCAUUCUGUAUGAAUCAGAAUCAGAGUUUAAGAUGCUGUUUGGGCUUGAUUUUAGUUAUUUUUCAGUUUCUUAGUCCUCAUAACUUUUCAUUGUGUUACAUUUAUAUUUCUUACGUUUUUGCUCUCCUUCUUGGAGAGGAGUUCGUGGAGGACACAAAUUAGGGUAGAAGGUUAGUAUGUGCUAGUGCAUUGUCUUGUUGUUUGUCCAUUAAUAGUAGUAUUAUUACUCUUGUAGUUUCUUUGCCUUUCCGAUCUUUGUUACUAUUUGUUGAAUCUUGUACUUUGACUAUUGUAUUUGUUUUGUUUUAAUACUCUUAUUUUAUCAUCCGUUGUUGUUUUUGUUACUGUGUUGUUUCCCGCACUUCCGCUAUUUCUUUUUUCUGUAUGGCUUUGGACUGUUUUCUUGAGCUGGUGGUGUAUCUGAAAUAAUCUCUGCAUUUAUGAGGUAGGGGUAAGGCUUGUAUACACUCUACACUCUACGCUCUCCUCAUACCCCACUUUGUGGUUGUUGCUUAUCUGCAACAUACCCAUCGAAAUUUUUUAAGUGAGCUCUGAAUGUUGUUGCUUGUCUAUGCCUUCCAUUUUAACAACACUGUAAUUUACUAUCAGUGUAUUGGAUAAGUUUUUUAAUUUGAUGAUUUUCUUCUGUGCCCUUUUCAAUUUCUUCUGAUGUGAGGUUCUUCUCGUUGAAGUUACUUAUCUCAAAAAAAAAGUUAGUUGUUGGUUGGGCAUGCCUCUCAGUUUUCAUAGAAUGUUAUCCUAUUAAUCAACUUGCUCAUGGUAUUUUAUUAAUCAAUGGAUUUGGUGGCCAUGCAGAAAGAUUUUUAUUGGGGGCUUGGCUAGAGAGACAACUUCAGGUUUGUCGAAUAACAUCCGCUGCUUUGAUCUUCUGCCAAAUUGUUUUCUUUCUUGCCUCUAAUGUUGCAUUGUAUAUCUGCAGCUCAAUUUGUCAAGCACUUCGGUAAAUAUGGUGAAAUUAUUGAUUCCGUGAUUAUGAAGGAAAGGCGGACAGGACAGCCACGUGGGUUUGGUUUUGUGACUUAUGCUGACCCAUCCGUGGUAGAUAAAGUCAUUGAGGACGACCAUGUUAUAAAUGGAAAGCAAGUAAGAUUACAUUAGCCUUCUAUUUUAUUUCAUUCUUAUAGCAGCUUGUGAUUUCAUUUCCUUUUUAUUUUAGUGUGGAUAGACAAUUUGGGACCUCAUGCUGAUGUUUUGAUUGUGUCAGGUGGAAAUCAAGCGAACUAUACCUAGAGGAGGAGGUUCCAGCUCAAAAGAUUUCAAGACAAAGAAGAUUUUUGUGGGCGGUAUCCCAACAACAAUUAGUGAAGGUUAUAUUUCUGUAGCUAGACUGAUCACCUUGCCUUUAGUCGUUGGAUUCUUUUGAAACAAGUCUUUGAGGUAUUAAGUUGCAUUUAUAUUUCAGAUGAGUUCAGAGACUUCUUUUUAAAGUUUGGAGAGGUGAAAGAGCACCAGAUCAUGCGUGACCAUUCUACUAGUCGUUCUCGUGGCUUUGGAUUCAUCACUUUUGACACAGAAAAAUCUGUCGAGGAUAUCUUGGCUAAUGGAAACAAGCUUGAUUUUUCUGGAACCCAGGUUAGUAUAGCCAUAGUGUUGUCUAAUUAAGGCGGUGAUACUUUUUCUAGAUUGUUUCAUUAAUCUUGUGAAGUUAUCAAGCUUUUCUGCCCUUCUUCAAACAUGAUUUCAGUGGCAAUGUUGCACUCUUAAGUAUAUGUGCUUCUUGUGUUUUUUUCUUUAUGUUCUAGGCCUUCUGACAAAUGUCCUUAAUUUGAUAAGGAUUGAGCUUGUGUUCUUUCUCAAUUUUCUUGGAAAGAAUUAAUGAAACUGACUGCCAAACCCAAUGAAAUAUCAAUAGUAUGUAUUUGGGUAGCAAUGUUUCUAUGUUCAUUGUGACUUGGUACUGAUGCAUCUUUUGUCUAACUUAUCAUUGAGUUGAGGUGCUGAAGUUGUCUUAACUGUAUUGAGGCUCAAGAAGUUGAGAAUUGUUCUUGUGUAUCCAUACAAGCUUAUUUUCUUAGUGAUGAUGCUCAAGUUACUAUUGUUUGGAAAUAAUUAGUAAUUGAAAUGAUUCUGCUAAUGGUAGUUGAACAUUCAUCUGUUGCAUGAUCAUGUUAUUUUAAAUAACCUUUUGAAGCUUGGUUAAGCUAAACAGUUCUCUACAUGGCAAAUAGGUGGAAAUCAAGAAGGCUGAGCCCAAGAGACCUAAUGCGCCACAACCAGCCCCAUUCAGGCGUCAAGGGAAUCCAAGAGCUGCAUUUGGUGGUGGAUUUUCAGAUGCUUAUGGUGGAUAUGGAGACUCUGGUUAUGGUGUUGUUGCUGGUCCUGGUCCUGGUCCUUACAGGUCUGGUGGCCCCUAUGGUGGCAGAUCCAGUGCAUUUGGUGGAUAUAGUGGAGGAGGAAUGGGUGGAUAUGGAGCAUAUGGUGGCGGUGGUGCCUACGGAGGAGGUUUCAGGGAGGAGGCUUCUUUUGGGUAUUCUAGCCGUUAUGGCAGUGGAGCCUUUGGUAGAGGCUACGAUGUUGGUGGUGGAUAUGGAGGAGCAGGUGAAGGUUAUGGAGGAUAUGGUGCUGGUGGCGGUGGAUAUGGCAGUGGAUAUGGUGCCGCUGGUCUUGGCAGUGGGUAUGGAGGAGAUAGUGCAGGAGGUUCAAUGUAUGGAAGCAGUAGAGGAAGCUAUGGUGGUGCUGGUGCUGGUUCAGGCAGAUACCACCCUUAUGGAAGAUAGAAAGUGAAAUGUUGAAGGUGCAAAGCUGAAUUGUUUCUGGCUUGGUGAUUUUAAGCUUAUGACCAGAGAUGUAUACUCAUCAAGCACUUGUUGAGAGCUAAAUCUUGUUUUUUUUUCUCUUAUCGAAUUUUAAUUGAAAAAAUAUUAGUUCAGUUAAUAUACUGGUGUCUUUGAUAUCGAUUGGUUUAUCAAGGAACACGACUCAUCCAUCUGCAAUCCUCAAGCAGCAUUGUCAAAUUGAUGUUCAAUUCUUUUAUGUGCUAGAGGUUUGCAUCUCUUUUUUCUUUUAAUUAGUUUGGACUAAACCAGUAAAUUUAUGGAUCCUAGAGACUGUCUAAAUGAGCAAAUGAUGAUUUUAUAUUCUGAUGUUGUAGUGUGUUUCUUAUCAUUACUAAUUUGAGAAGCGUAUGAUAAAAACAUAUAGGGUGCCUUCUAUGUGAUAGAAAACAUUUCUGAUUAUUUUUCAUUGCCGUGACGAUUGAAAAUAAGUAACAUUUCAAAUUUUUUGUUCGUGCCCCUAAUGUAUCUGUAGGAGAACAGUAGACGUGUCAUCAAAAGAUAAAACAAAAAAGAGUAGCCACACGAUUGGAGCGAACCCAACCGUUGUUGGAAUUUAUUGCCAAAACAAAACCAAAUUCUCAUAUUCUUGUGGACCUUCUUUUAACCUUAUCAAAAAUUGAAAUCACUACUAAUUACUAAUUCUUAGCCAUUUUAUAACCAACCAAUACUACUAAAUUCAUAAAUCAUAAUUACUAUGGAAAAGGGUCAAAAUUGCCUCUAAAUUAUGUGAAAUAGAUUAUUUAUACUCUCCAUUAUAUGUUGGGAUAAAAAAUACUCCCGCUGUUAUCGUAGGAGACCACAAAUAUACACCCCAACUUUUUAGUAAUGUGACAUGUCACAUGGGACUAAUCCCUCCAUCUAAGUGUUGCCAACUAGGAUUCACUACAAAAGAACUAGACCUAUAGCAGCGACAAUAGUCGCCACAAAAGCCCAAAAAAUCAUCACCAGAAGUUUUUAAUAUUAAAUUCUAAUUUUAUGUUUUUUUCUUCAUCGUUUUUAAAAGUCAAAAAUGAUAUCGAUUAAGUAAGAGUUUGAAGACAUUGUAUGUUAUAUUUUUAUAGUAUAUAUAAACAUAUAAAAUGUACAAUGAUGAAUUAUAUAGCAGGAGAUAUGAAUCGAGAAGUAAUUUUCAUGAUUUUUCGUAAUAAUAUUAAGUGUUUUUAAUAUUGAUAUUGCAAGUUAUUUAUUUUAGAAAAUUAGGUUGCGAUCAAAAAUUAAUUAUCAUAUUUUUUUUGUUGAAAAGUCAUCACUAAAAAUCAUUCAUAACCUUUAGUGACAAUAUUUUUUUUUAAUAACUCUACAUGUAGAGAUUUUGGGAGGUUAAAUAUAUGUAGAUUUUUAUCUUUAUCCUAGUGACAUGAAGAUGUUUUUUUUUUUAUAUAAAUUCUUAAUUCGAAAAGAAAUAUUAUUCUAUUUGAAAAAGGUGCAAAAGUAAAAAAUGUGAUAAAAAUAUUGAAAAGUGAAAGCACAAUUAAAUAGAUGCUUUAGACCAGAAUUAUGGUAUAUCACUAAAAGAAAAUACUAAACCAUGUACUAAUUGUGAGAUCUAAUCCUUGACCUCCAUGCUUUGUUUUGUAAAGUCCUAUACUUGAUGUCUUGUACUAUUCUACUUAUAUGUCAUACAACGUGCGAGUUUUUAAUGGCGCCAUACGUGUACAACACACUUUUAUCUAACCACCCUCUAUAAUUUUAUUUUUAACAAAAUCCUUUUCACUUAUUUUUUUGGUUGGUGAAAAUUGAGCAAGAAACUGGACAUACCAAAUAAAAAUCUUGAUUUUGGAUCAAGAAGCAGAAAUUGAUAAGGAAUUAAGGAAAUGGCUCUGGUUUCUAACACUAACUCAUUCUUAAAGGUACGAAUAGAACUCUGCAAUCUCCCUCUUUUUGUUGUUGUUAAGCGUGUGAGUGGGUUUUUGAUACUAUUAGUAAAAUUGCAGUCACAGAGGCACCAAGUUUACUGCAGAAAGAAGGAGAAAGAUAAGAGUCAAAAUCCCCAACCCUAUAAAGUCAUUGAAAUUUCACCCCCUCCCAAGAACCUUGGCAUACGUUGCCUCCCCUCGGUAAGCAUCAUUUUGUUUUUGUGUUUCUGUUUGAUAUAUAAUGCUUAUGUGUCUCGAAUGCUCAGUUGAUUGAUUGAUUAAUUGGUGUUAUGAUUAUUAUGUUUACGCUGAUGCUCCUUUUCUUGCAAUCGCUGUUUUUUUAAUUGUUUGAAUAUACUUAAAAAGCCAAAUGCCCCAUUUGUGAGUUGUGAGAUUAUACACGGUAUGUUGUUGUUGUAGUUGAAAGGCCAUAUACCAUCUUACUUUUACUGGGAAGAUUAGAAAAGAGCUUUCUUUACAUUGGAAUUAUUGUAACUUGAUUGGAUUAGAAAUGUGAAGAGUAAUUCAUUUGGGGUUUAAUGUAUUUUAUGUUCAAUAUUGCUGGUUCCAAUUCAUUCUGUAUGAAGUUUACAAACUUGGUUGAUUGGCUUUUGUUGAAUGUCUUACGUUUGUUUUAUGGCAUUCUUAUGGUCACAUUUUAGGAUUAGUUCAUGUUCCUUAUACGUUUAUAUGGAUGUUAACAUCCUCAACUCCAAAUUAGUUAGUGUCAGCUUUAUGUACCCGUGAAUACAUUAGCUAAGAGAAGUGUCAACUACAUGAAUCCUCUAUUUGGGUUGAUUUCCUUGCAAAUACCUGUACUGUGGUUGGAGCAAAUAUUGUGCUAGUGUCCCCACAGGAUUUGGUUGGUUUGAUCUAGACGGUAGUUGUUCCUCAUAAGUCAUAGCAUAUGAGCUACUCUAGAAUUAAGGAUAGUAGUUUGGGAACUCUUUGGUAUUAACUGUGCUUGUAGUAUUGCUUACAAAGAACCAAAACUAAGAGGGAACAAUUUAAAGUGAAUAUCUGUUUUCUUGCUGGAUGCUGAGUAAUGGGUGAAUUUCCAUGCAUGAGAUAGAAAAAGGGCAGAUGUUUGAAGGCACACAAGUUGGUUUCCUGUGAUAGUGUCUCACAUUCCAUACCUGCUUGAAUAUAGACGCUGGUCUAUUGAUGGCAAAUGGUUUUAUGUGAGAUGUGUUAGAAUUAGAUGGCUUCACAUAUGUUAGACCUGUAUAAAUGACUAAAUGUGUCCAAAACUGCAGUUCUCUGUUAUUUAUUAAUAAGUUGAUUGUAACUUGGUCGAAGUCUGUGACUCCUACAACUUGCCAAUACUAGACUUAUGUAUAAAUCUCUUUUGAGUAUUCUUUGUUUUGCAUGAAUUUCUGAGAUAUCUUCGCAAAGCACUCAACAACGUUAUGGUAUUCUACUAUUCAUGCCAACCAUCUACGAUUUCCUUUGCCCAGAACUUGACAUGAUUCAGAUCACAGUUGUGUAUUCAUGCCAAUCUUUUACAGUUCCCUUCACCUAAAACUUGGCCUGAUUUAGUUCACAGUCAUCAAAUUGACCAUGUUUUGAUCUCAUUUUCAACAUGUUUUUUGCAACUUUCCAGAAUAAGAUGUAUAUAAAAACGGCAGAUACCAACAGUUCAAUACAAUUUGUAAGAACGAGAUGAUGUUCAGUCUUUAUUUUCAAAAAUCAUGUUCAAAGAAAAAAUUGUUACUUUUCGAGAAGUUAAUUGGUCAAUUUUUGGAAUAAAGGGAUAUUAAAAUUACUAUAGAAGAUAUAUGGAAAAGCUUCUUUCCUUCCUUCUAAUUCAUAAUUUCCUUUUGUAAGUAUUGCAAUUUGAGAAAUAGCACAGAACAGAACACAAUACUACAGAGUUAGAAAAUAGAGAAAGCAGUAUAUUGUAGUAGAGUCAAGUGAGUUGUGAACUGUUAUCUUUGUCCAAAAAUGUUAAAUGAGUUGUGGACUAGUGCAGCCACUUAAGCAGAGGAGUGGAGCUUUCCACUGAUAGAGAAGUGUAAAAUUUGUGGUGAAACAGCACUGGCAGGAUAUGUAAAGAAUUGCUGACAAGGGUUACUCGAGUAAAGUCACUAAUCUAAUGAUUUGUCACAGUAAAGUUCACUUAACCAUGCGGUCUCAGGUUCAAUUUCGGGUGGAGACAAAAAACACGUGGUGAUUUCUUCCCAUCCAUCCAAGCCUUGGUGGAUGGAGUUACCCGUAACCUGUGCUAGUGCUGGUGGAAGCAGCAGGUAACUCGUGGAAGUAACCGAGCUAAAGUUGAUCCGAAUACCCCGGUUAUAAAAUAACAAAACAAAAAAGUAGUUUUGUGACUUUUGUGUUACAAAUAGUUAGUUUAGUGACUUUACCUUAACAAAAAUAGUUUUCUGACUUGAGUGUUAUGAAGAGUAAGUUAGUAAUGGUAGGUGAAAGUAACCCGAUUCGUUUGUUGUUAAAAAGGUAAAGUUAGGCUGUUACUUUAUUCAAGGGCCCACAGUUAGCAAAUUUUUGCUUUAGCUCUAGAUCAUAGAACUGAAAGAUAGAUGCCUGAUAUGCUUGCCUUCCAGUGCUAGGGUCAUUGUGUCUGCAUUAGCACACUUGCCUAAAGCAUUUUUACUUUGUUCAAGCCUUGACGUGUUACUAGCUGAUGAUAUUUCUGUUUAGGAUGUGAAGGCUGAAGCUUCUUUAGUUCUAUUAUUGAUCUGUCUGUUCAUCUGCUGGCUUCUUUUGGGCCCUUUAGCUUGUCCUUCAUUCAGAGCCAGUCAUAGGAAGCUGUAUAUGAUAGGUGUGUGUCAUAGGAAGCUGUCUAUGAUAGGUGUGUGUCAGAACAAUUAUUCUCCUUAACUUUUUCCCUGAAUCAAGUUUCAGAAUGAUAAUGAUGGCAUCAUAAUUAUUCCCAUGACUGAACGAAUCCUAUGGGAGAACUAGGGAAGGAAGCAAUAUGAUAUUGUUCCUUAAUGAAGCUCCAAUUUUGGAAGGUUGAAUGGCCCGGGUUUGGAGAGGGGGGGGGGGGGGGAGAGGGGAGGAGCGAACCAUGUAUCCUGCACUAAGCACAAACAGGAAGAAGUCCCAUCAAAGGCUAGGUCAUAUGUGUGAUGUGCAAGGCGAAGGUAAAUGACACUAAGAGGGAUGAUCUUCCUAUUUCUUUUCGCUAGAAGCAAAUUUUGAGCUCUGAGGUUCCUUUUUGAAGAUGAACAAACCUUUAUUAUAAAAGAUUAGAGGUGUUCCCUAUUGUUGAUAAACUUAUUUACCUUAUAAAAAAAUACAAACCUCUAUUAUCAUUCAUGUUCGAAUUGGCUGUACUUAUUCUGUUCUUGCAGAGAACAGAAGAAAUAAAUCACUUGGUUUGUCCCUUUGGGGACAUCUGAUAAAACUGUAAAUAUAUCACAGGUUCCAAUGGUUCACCGUAAAACAUAAAAGUGAUUAGUAGCUCUGAAUUUUUAACUGGCUGAAUGUAAUAUCAUCAAGCUCUUUGUGCAUUUAAAUUUCAUGAUCCUGCUUACUUGUGAACUACUUUUAUUUGUUAUUUUCUACCUUUUUGGUUCACCCAGAAAGAUGAAUGUAGAAACAUAGCUCAUCUGUCAGAAAAUACAGUCAGUAAGAAGUGAUUUACCUGUUCAGGCAACCACGAUUCUAUUAUUCAUGGUCUUUAUUGGCAGUUUCAUUAAGACUUAGAACUACUCAUAAAGCUUGUGUUUUUCGUGUUCCAAUGUAAUACUCACAUCUUAGCUUGACGUGAAACUAAGCUAGCCACACACACUGCAUCAGAUGCUUUUCAUAUAUCCAACAUUCAUGCCAUACAAAAGACAUAUGACCUUUCUGUCAUGUUUCCAAUAAUGCUUCACUAAUUCAUUGAAACUGGCUACAUGCAUAGGGCCUACAUAAGAUUUUUGAAUUGACAGACGUCCAACAAUGCUUUUCGCAGUUGGGGUAUAGUGUUUUAUGGUGUCUGGUCUAAUAGAAAGUUAAUUUCAAUGACAGAACUUGCAGUGUGGAGAAAGUGUAACCAUCGAAGGCCGAGCUUACACCAUUUCAGCUGUAACUCAUCGUUAUCAGCUUCGUAAAGGGAAAUACGAGCCUAGUGAGAAGAGGCUUGAUGUGUUGUCUACUGGAAGAUACAUCUUAAAUUUGUACUUAGAAAAUUUGCUAGAACAAUCUUGACUAUGAUGUAGAUUACUCCACUUUUCCCUUCAUCUUUAUGUAUACAUUAUGAAAAUACAACUUCAUUCAAUUGCCUGUGUCAAAUGAACUCGUUUGUUAUUUUUGCUUGCAGUAUGUCUCAAUCAUACAUCAUAUCUCAACACACACGAAAGAAAGAACAACGUAAGAUUUCUUUCGAUCUUAGUAGUAUCAGGUAUUUAGUGAAAUAGUCGAACUGGCUUAAACACUUGUGUUUCCAAGUACAUACCAAACAAAGGAGAAUGUUACCAUAAAGGGGAAAUUUUUAUAAAAAUAAGGGAAUUGGUACUAUAUUUUAUGUUGAUGGUAAUGGAAACUUUCCUACAUUGAAGAGCUUAAUGGUGGUGAAUGAUAUGUGGGAAUAUAGACUCUUAUUACAAUGACAAUGAUGAUUGGGUAAAAGCAUAAAGCAUGUAUAGUUGAUUGCAGACAAAAGGCCCCCAAGAUAGCAAGUACUGUCUCACCAUCUUUUUCUGCCACGUGUCAUUAUAAAAUUUAUUCAUGCAAAUUAUUAUUUACACUAUUGUGUAUGAAGCAGACUCUCAAUAAGAUAUAGGCUAUCGACUGAUUGACCCCUUUUGAAUUUUCAGCCACAAAUAUAUAUAUGUAGUAGCAUAUACAACUUGUCCUAAAUAAAGCUCAUGAAAGAUGACAUAAAAAUAUAUUAAGUAUAUUAAAGAUAGAUUAUAUGUAUAUCUUAUCUUUGAUCUAAUUUAGAUAGAUAAAUUAUUUUCGUAAAAUGUAAUUUGUUUCUUGUUUUGAGUGAUUAUUAUUCUGCAAGUGAAGAAUGCAAUUGCCAUUGACCUAUGCUAUUAUAAAAAAAAAUUGAUUUUAAAACAGAGCAAUUUUAACUGUACAAUAUUUUGUUGUUAUAAUUUAUGCAUUAAGUACUACAUUAAUGGUUUUAUCUUUUAUGAAAUGGUAAUAAUAAUAAUAAUAAUAAUAAUAAUAAAAGAAUAUAAUAAUUAAAAGGAACACGACAGGCGGUCCACAUGCGACGGUUCCGGUUCACGUGUGUGCACAUGUAAUACCCCUUUCCCUGUCCCGGUUCAACUUUGGUGCCUCUUAUCAUGUCAUAUAGUAAUUAUUAUUUAUAGUACUAUAUACUAUUAUUAUAUUACUUUACUAAAUUUAGUGCAAUUUUGUAUAACUAGUACUAUUACUAUUAUUUAUUAUUAUAUGUCAAAUUUUAACUUUUUCAUUUUCUGAUUCACCUAUCAGAACAAGAAUAAUUAAAAAUAUAUUUUAUUUAAUUAUUUAGUGACGAAUUUAAAAUUAUUAUGAACUUUGAAUUGACUAAAUGUAUAUAUGUGUGUUUGAUUUUUCAUCUAUGUUUAUAUUUAACUCGUAAAUUUGUAAUUGCGUUUUAUAUGUUAAGCAUAAUGAUUAAAAUUUUCAUUUGAUAGUUGAAGAUACUUGUUUUAGUAGUUAUUUUUUAUGCUGAUAUUACAAGGCAAGAAUGUGCAAUUUUUCAAAAGAGAAGUAAAGCAUAAAGGAAAAAAUCCCACUAAUAGUUAAAAGUCUACCCAAUUAAAAACUAUCAUUCUAAUAAAGUUGGAAUUUAUCCAAUCUUGAAAAUAUAUAAAUGGCAUUUAGGACGAGGGUAAAAAGUACUAUUUUAUUUUUGAAUUUUAAAUUUUAUAAUCAAGUGAUAAACGAUUAAAGCUCAAUUAUCCUGAGAUAUUAGUCUGAUUACAGUUAAUAUAUGUAUAAAAAAUAUGCAUCGUAAGAUUAUACAAUUUUUUUAAAAAUAAUUCAAACUUCAAUUUCAAUUAUAUUAGCGAUAGAAAUUAAAUCAUAAUCUAAAAGGAUUUCCUUCGAAUAUAAUUCAAAUAAGGGGAAAAGGUGAUGAAUAUGGAUUAUUAAAAGUUUAAAAGUAUAUAACAAAGCCAAUAAAUGUUACUUAGUAGCUUGUUUACACACGUUAUUCGUAGCUUGGAAAUAUGCACAACUAAGUAGCUUCCUUUGAAUUGCUUUGACCUUCAAGCAACACAAGUCAAACACGUCAUUACUGAGAGAUGAUUUGAUACGAGAAUUAAAUUAUUUUAGACCAAUUUAUUUCAUUGAGAUCGGUAUUAAUUCAUUUUGAAAUUAUUAUAGUUAUUUAGUUGUAUAAAUUUAUUUCGCUAUUUUUUAUCUUAUUUCGCGUACAAAACAACCUCUAACUCCUAAUAUUACAUCCUCCGUUCAUGUUUGACUUGAUAAAAUGUUGAUAAUGAAUUAAAAUACGUAAAAAUAAAAGUAAAAUAUGCAUAAAAUAUAAAUUAUUUUUUAAACUGAAUAAUUAAAAAUAAAUAAAUAUUUUUAACUUAAUAAUUGACAUAUAAAUACGGAUGAUUCAAUUUGAAGAAACAGUUGCUCUGAUAUUCAUCAGAAUUUUGUCACCUUUUUUUAUUUUUAUUUUAAAAUUAAAUGACAUAUGUUAUUAUAGUAUUAAAAGAUUAAGAUUGAGUAUGAUUUCUUUUUUAAAAUAGCCUUUACUAAAACUUAAGUUUCAUAACAAAUAUGUCAUAUAAUGUCAAAACUUGGAGCAAUAUGCAAAAAUGUGAUAAACAACUAUUCUUGGGACAGUUUUUUUUGUACGUAUAUAUAUAUUUUCAAGUCUCUUUAUUCAUCUUAUCUUAUCAUAUUAUUGAUUGAUUGAUAAACAAUAAUUGAAGUGAUUCUAUUUUUUCCAUUGGCACAUAUGGUUUCAAUUGGGUAACGUACCUGGAAUUUAUUGUAUAUUUCAAAUUAGAAUUUUGAAUUUUUAAAAUCGCAACCUAUUUAAUGAAAACAUGCUUUUUCACUUGUAUGAAAUUCAGAGGCUCUGUCACACUCAAAAUAUUUGCAGAAAACAAAAAAAUCAGCAGUAAUAAUAAAUUCAAUUUAAUAAUUAAAAAAUAAUUACUAUUUUAUAAAUAUCAUAUAUUAUCAAUAAUUAAAAGUAAGUAUUAACAAAAAUAGCAGUAAAAUAUUAAUAUUAUAAGUUAUAAUAGUCAAUGAUUAAAAACUAGUGUAUAUUAUUACUGUGCAUUUAAUAAAAUAAAUAAGACAAAUAAAUUGAAACGAAAUAAUAUUUUGUUUUUUGUUUUCGUAGUUUACCGAAGAAAAGAAGCAGCGUAUAUGAUUACAAUAUAAGCGUUUACAAAAACAAGAAAAGGUGAAGAUGAAGGAGAAAACAGAGUAAAAUAUAGAAAGAGAAAGAGAGAGAAAAUCUUAUGUAUCAAUUUCUUGACUAAGCUCUAUUCUAUUUCAUUUGUUUGUUGUGAGUUUUGUUUGAUUGAUUCAUUUACUCUGUUUGUAUCCAAAUAUAAUAAUUAGUCACUCACUCUUUUUAUUGUUACGAUCGGAUCUGAAAAAGGGAGAGGACCCAGAAAGAAAAAGGUGCAAAGCUGUUACCCUUUUUAAGUGGAAAGGGUCUCAAUAAUCAUGGCACAUCAUUCAUUUUUCUCCAUUUGAUAAUCAGGUGAUUUCAACAACCUAUUACUCUCUCUGUCCACUUUUUUUUUUUUUGAUUUAUUUGUGGAUAUACAUCUUUUCAUUGAUCCUUUUGGUGGAAUUCUAUGAUCAUUUAAUUCUGUGAUUUUACUGCAAUUCUAUGUAAAGUUUUGUAAUCAAUGCUACAUUAUGAGAUGACCGAAUCAAUUUAUGGUAAAAUUAUUCAAAAUUUAGUUGAAAAUUGUGAAAUUUGAAAAAAAAAGUAUUUAAUUUUGUUUUCAAAAUGGAAAUUGGAGUUAUAUAUGACCAUGAUAUUGGUAUUUUUCAAAAGUUGAAUUUCGGAUUUAAAGCCAAAAAUGAUCUCCAGAAUUCAACUCCGGGAAAGAGUAAAAAGUAUUCAUGGUCAAACUGUUAAGUAGCUAAUUUUUCUUCACUUUUAAUUGUGUAAUGACAGUGUUUAUACCAAAAAAUUACAAUGGAGUCUCUUGUUGAUGGAAUCAGUUCCUUGCCGAACGUUCACAAUUCAUUCGCUGCGGUUGAGUGCAAUACAUCUUUGGCCUCCAAGAUAAGUCAUCCUCCUUUGAUGAAACAAUCCGAAAACAAAGAGGCAUCUAUCUCAUAUCCAAUAGCGAUGGACCUUGGUUCCACCGUAGCUCAUACUCAAACUGGAUCAGUGACUGGUUCAAAGCAUUUUAAAGCAAAUGAAGAUACUGUAAAUCAAUCAGCAGAAGGUUGUUCAGGAGAACAGGUUUUGGCUUUGGAAACUGAAUCAUCUAUCAAGGAUUUACAUCAUGUUUCGAAAAAUGGUACUUCAAACGAUGAUUUGAAUGCGACUGCCAAAGACUCAGGAAUCACCUACUGUCCUAGUCCUCAAAACAGUUUUUAUUCUGCUACACAGUACACAGAAGCCAAACAAAGUUUUUCCAACACAGAAGUCAGUGAAUGCGCUAGCAGCACUGUGGACAAGUCUGGUGAAAGUGGUGAUGUUAGCAACUCUUGUGAUCUUGUUGAGAGCAGAAAAACAAGCUUCUACAGAGGCAGCACAGGUAGUGACGUUAGUGAUGAAAGCAGCUCUAGUAGUUUCAAUAGCACAGUAUAUAAACCACAUAAGGCAAAUGAUACAAGGUGGGAUGCAAUACAAGUUAUUAGAGCCCGUGAGGGAACAUUGGGUUUUAACCACUUUAGACUGUUGAAGAGAUUGGGAUGUGGUGAUAUAGGAAGUGUUUUUCUAGCAGAGUUGAUUGGCACAAGAUGUUUCUUUGCCAUGAAAGUGAUGGACAAGGCAGCUCUAGAAAGUCGCAAGAAACUCGUGAGAGCUCAAACGGAAAGAGAGAUACUGCAGUCUCUGGAUCAUCCCUUUCUACCAACACUGUAUUCGCACUUUGAAACAGAUAAAUUUUCGUGCUUGGUGAUGGAAUUCUGCCCUGGUGGAGAUUUGCAUGCACUUAGGCAAAAGCAGCCAGGAAAAUUCUUCCCGGAGCAUGCUGCCAGGUUAGUGUUUGUCCGCAUAUCAUAUUCACCUCUUUGCUUUGUGUUCAAAAUAUCCAACUAUCGCUGCGAUCUUAAUGAAUAAAGAACUUUUAACAUUGCUUCCUGUAUAAACCAAUCUGUUACCAUCAUCGUUAUGCUUUAAGUGUCUUAAAAGUUCAUAAUAGUGGAAAUGACUUUAAUCUAUUAUGCAAGGAAGAUCCUGUGCAUAUAUGCCUUCUUCUAACUGUCUCACCUCUUUAGGCAUUGCGCUCAAACAAUGAUGAGUGAGAUCCACUGCUCUGUGCUUAUAGCUGUUGACUUUUUUUCCCCAGCUGUUUAUUAGAUCCGUAUCUGUAUGUUUGCCUUGAUAUCUCUUCAAUUAAACAUGUUGCUUAUUUCCUAGCCUUUUGUAAUUUUUCUCAACAUUGAGUUCAGACCUUUCUUGUUGUGUGCAGUCCCAGUAGCAAAUAUUGUUUUCCAGUUGCAUGCUCGUAUUCAUCACUGUCAUUUGGAAACUGACUGGUAUAAUGUUCUAAAAUUUUGUUAGCUGGGGCCAAGGGAAUUGAAUAUAACCGAGUAGUUUGUUUCGUAGGAACCAAAGAUAAGUCCAUUCAGAUAGACUUGAGACGUUACAUCUACCGUAAUCAAUGAUAGUUUAGGUUGGAGUUACGUAGUUAUGACUUAUGAUUGAGUUUUGUUAUGAUUUUUACUAUUGAUUCUUUUUAUUGGGAAUAUAGGUUUUACGUGGCUGAAGUCCUUCUUGCUCUAGAGUACUUGCACAUGCUUGGAAUCAUUUACAGAGACCUUAAACCAGAGAAUGUUUUGGUUCGAGAAGAUGGCCAUAUAAUGCUUUCUGAUUUUGACCUCUCCUUGAGGUGUGCCGUGAGCCCAACUCUAGUUAGAUCUUCAAAUUCAAGCUUAGAGUGCAAGAGCUCAUCAUACUGUGUCCAGCCUGCUUGUAUUGAGCCAUCUUGUGUCGUACAGCCUGCAUGUAUACAACCUUCAUGUUUUACACCACGUUUUCUAAGCAAGAACAAGAAAGAAAAGAAGUCCAAACAAAAGACAGAAACAUAUAACCAAGUGAACCGGCCUCUUCCAGAACUCCUUGCUGAACCAACGAGUGCUCGAUCAAUGUCUUUUGUGGGAACACAUGAGUACCUAGCUCCAGAAAUUAUAAAGGGUGAAGGACACGGCAGUGCUGUAGAUUGGUGGACAUUUGGGAUCUUUCUCUAUGAACUCUUGUUUGGACAAACUCCUUUCAAAGGUGCAGGCAACAGGGCAACAUUGUUUAACGUUGUUGGACAGCCCUUGAAAUUUCCUGAAACACCUAGUGUUAGUUUUGCAGCAAGGGACUUGAUAAGAGGCCUACUUGUGAAGGAGCCACAACAUCGCCUUGCAUAUAGGCGAGGGGCUACUGAAAUAAAACAACAUCCUUUCUUCCAGAAUGUGAACUGGGCACUUAUAAGAUGUACCAGUCCUCCAGAUGUACCAAAGCCGUCCUCCAUGACAUAUGAUAUGCCCCGAACACCACCAGCAGGAAAGGCCCCCGGACUUGAUGUGAAGCCUUCAGGUAAUUAUUUUGAGAUUGAUUUCUUCUGAAGAAUUCUUUUCCUUGGCAGCAAUGCCCCCAUUGCCGUUCUACGAAGAGCUCAACGUUGAGGAAGACACAGUUUUUGUGUUCCUUUAUGCUAAUGUAAAGUGCAUACUCUGUUGAAAUGCAAGAUGCAUAGGAAUUAGAUGGUGAAGGCCAUUUUUCUUUGUAUAAGUAUGUUGUUGAUAUUAAUGAAGAAGGCCUUGAUGUGGCUAUAAAGCUAGGCAUUGCUGGAUGUGAUGUUUUAAAAUUUUCAAUUGAAGAAUCAAAAGUUGAUGUGCCAUAAUCCAGUCAUUUAAAAAGUUGAUGGCAAUUAGGAGUAUUGGAUGGAACUGCAAAUGCGUAACAACAAUAAUGUUUUAUUCUUAAACAAGUUAGGGUCGACUCUAUAAUUCUUUUGGAUGAAUUAAAGAAAAAUGUUUACUUUGAUUUGGUAAACAUAACUCAAAGAAAGUUUAUUAAAACAGAUGAAUUUGGCACCUAUGGUCCCCAAAGUAUACAGUUGGACCAUUUUCAUAAACAAUUCAUUACUAAAAAGUGAUUUCCAUGGGGAAACAUUUUGAUGGAUUUUCAAAUUGGAAAUUUCUUAACGAUAACUCAGUUUUCAUUACUUGCGACUCACAUACUUUGUAUUUAUAAAUGAGUCAUUCUUCACCAAUCCCAUUAAUUUUCUAGACCAAAAGUAUCAAAGUUUGUACAUCUAAAGGAUUAUGUUUCUUCAAAUGUCACAUAAGAAAGAUGAAAAUAAAUUGAUUAUCAGGGAUCAAUGAUCAUAGUGUAUUUUUUUUAUACCAUUAACAAUCAAGUAAAUUUAAUUGAUUUUCAUAUUUAAAUUUGAAAAUAUAUACUGUAUUAUUUAAUUGAUGGGAGUAAAUAUAUAGUAUUUUUUAUUCUGUUAUUUUGCUGGAGAAUUGGUCGUUGUCAAAAUUAUCAUUUCUUCGAAGUCAGUGGCGGGUGUGCCUUGUUAGGCUUCCCAUGCCUUUAAAUCAUUCUCUCUCCUCUUCAAUCACAUUUUGCUUGCACUUCUCUCCAAAACCUUUCACUCGCUUUUCUGCACGAGCCCUAGUUAACGCCAUGGCCGGAACACCGGAGAACUUCUCCACCGACGCUACUGCCGACGCUGCCAACGCCGACGAGGACGUCAAGUUUGGGUUUCAGCGUUCGGAGAUGUACCAGAGUAAACUUGCAGGUACUACGACCUCCUAUGAUCGUCAUCUGUUCCUCUGUUACAAGUCUCACGAGACUUGGCCUGCUCGCCUUGAAGCUUCUGACUCCGAUCUGCUUCCAAAGUCACUCUCUGCUGCUCUUAAAGCUCGCAAGGAUGACAUCAAAAUCAAGGUUAGGUUUUCUAAAACUGAUUGUUUUUGUCAAUAGGGGCUAGGAGAAACUUCAUUGUUGUGAUUACUGCGUCUUUAUGUUCUAAUGUCUAGAACGACUUAAAGGUAAUAUGUUGUCACUGGAAUAAUUUUCUGCUUAUGUGAUUAUUUCUGGAGUGAAUCCAACUGAUUUGACAUUUUGGUUUAGUUUAUUGGUCGAUAUUGAUUGAUUUUUUCCGAUGAGUGUUUGCUGUAGACUCUUUUGACAAUAUGCGAAGUACGUGAUGACAUGGAAGUAUCAGAAGGAGAUAUUCUGAUUUUUCCUGAAAUGAUCAAAUACAGGUAGUUUAUUUGUUCAUUCAUUUUUUCUAAAAUUCGGCAUUGAGCGGCACAAAGCUGAUAUUCCAUGCAUUGUGGGGGCUGACAAAAUGACUCAAUUUUAAACAAGAAAAUGACAAAUAAGAUUCAUGAAUUUGACUUGAUUCUAUUAGCUGGAUCCAAGUUUUCUGAUAUUUAGAAGAAAACGGUUUGUAGAUACCACACUGAAGUCGCCUUUUAGUUUUCGUGCUUUCUCUUGGAUAGCUUCAAAAUGUCGAUCUAAACGUGUAUGCAUUGUCGGAUUCGUCCGGAUCUGUUGAGUCUCGUGGUUUGCAUUGAAGCCUUGUUUUUAUGAUGAAGGGAUUUGAAGGAGUCAGAUGUGGAUGCAUUUGUUGAUGAUGUGCUUGUCAAUGGCAAUACUUGGAGCUCUGGAUUGCAGGAGUCGCUGAGUGGUUCUUAUGUGUUUGUCUGUGCCCACAAUCUUCGUGAUCGAAGAUGUGGUGUUUGUGGACCUAUUCUAAUUGAGGAAUUUAGCAAGCUCAUUGAGUCCAAGAGCUUGAAAGACAAAGUUCGUGUGACAGCUUGUUCUCAUAUUGGUGGCCACAAGUAUGCUGGUAAUGUUAUAAUCUUCAGCUCAGGAAAGGACGGGAAUAUUGUUGGCCACUGGUAAGUCAUAUUUUUCAACGGACGACCUGGAAUUUCACCACUAGCCUCCAGAUCAAUUUGUAAUCUAACAACGGUAGCAUGAUUGAAAAUGUUAUUUUCAUGAAGAUAAAGUUAUUUUUAAAAUCUCUUACCUUGCAAACUAUUAUAUACUGAUAAAGGAGAUGGAAGGUGGGAGAUGGGUCAUGUGGGGUCGGUGGGUGAUAUUUUCAAGUGCCAAAUAUUGACUCCAUUAGUUACAUAUUGGUUGAAGCAAGUGCAAUAAAGUAAGAGUUGUGGUACAUUAGAGGAAUGGUCAUUUUCUCCAUUCAGUGCAAAACAUUUUCGUUGUGAGAAGAUGUUGAACAAUUAAGCCUACCUAGAAAAUGAUUUUGCAAAGAAAAACACACAUUGCAAGCAGCAUAUCAAAGAUCAAUAAAGAAACUUUGCCUUAAGACUGUCCAUUACAUACAUGUUAUAUGUGCUCUAUGUUGUGUUAGUGCAGGUAUGGCUAUGUUACGCCAAGUGAUGUACCUGCUUUGCUUGAUGAGCAUAUUGGAGAGGGAAAAGUCAUUGAACGACUUUGGAGGUUUGUAUUGAUUGUCCUCUCCCUUUUUUUUCUUUGCAUGCUUUAGUGCUGUUUUGCUUCAUGGCACAGCUAAAUCACGAGGAAGUAUCUUAAUGUUUUCCAUGGUUUUAAUUCUAGGUAGAUGUAUAUAUUACUCUUCAACUAUGAGAUUGUGCUCAACAUACUCUAUAACUGCAAUUGUGCUUAUUCCUAUGCCAUUUUUGUCUAUCCUUUCAUUUUGAGGGAGCAACAGUUGCUUCCUUUUCCUUACAGGUUUAGGAUGGGAACAUGUUACUUAUUUAAUUUACUAUCACAGUAUCACUCACUCCUCUUCUGUCACGACCCAAAAAUGGACGUGAUGGCACUUAUCUUAUCCCACCAAGACAAGUCAGCCUAAAACUCAACUUAUUACAAUAAAAUGCGGAAAAUUUACUAUCGACUUAUAUUAUACCCCAAAACCUGGUUGUCACGUGUACAGGCCUCUAAAGUAUUACAAUUGAUUCAAAAGAAAACUCAAGUCUCAAAUGAACUUGUUUCUAGAAUAGAACAAGAACAUAAUUAAGGAGAAGAAAGUCUGCUGCAAUGGAAAUAGCUACCUGACAAAUCUCCAAGAAGCCUCGGAAAAGAAGAGAAUGACAAGUACAACAAAAAUCUAGGCUCAUAACCUACAAAAAUUUGUAGAAGCAAGGGGUGAGUACCAAACCACACGGUACUCAGCAAGUAAACGUCUAAACACAAGCUAAGGGGAUGAAAUACGGGUACUCCUACCACCCCAAUCGAACCUCCACAAUUACAAACUACAUAAAAUCCAGUCUAACCUAACAGUUCAUAUUUACAUAGCACGUAACUCUACAACAACACUUAGACAAAUUACAUAUACAUCCUCCACAACCACACUUUACCAAAUUACAUAUCCUCAAUAACAACACUUCAACAAAUUAUAUAUCCUCGAUAAAAACACUUCAACAAAUUGCAUACCCUUAACAACAACAAUUCAACAAAUUACAUAUCCUCAAUAACAAGCUCAGUAUUCAUCAAUCACAAAUUUCGCAGAAAGUCAAUCACAAGAUCAGCAAAACACAAUAUCAAGUUCACCAAUGAUAAGUAUGUGUAAUGCAAUGUCAAGUAUAAUGAUGCAUGUCUGACUUAUUGAUACACACCCGCUGUCUCUCAGUCCGGGACCCAUGGGGGACAUAUCUGUCCAUGCAUCUGUCGCGGCGUGCGACACGACCCUCGAUAAUAAUAACCAUCACGGCGCGCGAUACGUCCCUCGAAAUAUAGUAUCCAUCGCGGCGCGCGAUACGUCCCUCGAAAUAUAGUAUCCAUCGCGGCGCGCGAUACGUCCCUCGAAAUGGUACAUCCUCUUUAAGUUCUCAUUCUUUCUCAAUGCACAUAACACUUUUCACAAUCAUGUCAUCAAAAUAAUGCAAUGCCAUGUUCAUACAAAAAUAAAGAGGAUAUCACUAUUUUAAUAACAUUACACAAUUCACAACAACAUCAACAAUGAUUCAACAAGCCUUUCAAAUCAUUCUCCAUUAUCAACACAUCACACACAACCCAUUAUUCACAUUGCCUUUUAUUACCCUUUUGUUUUCCUCAUUAGAAUUAAUCAAUGUGGACAAAUCAACCCAUCACCAAGUCCCAUUACUCCCAAACAUAUAGCAUAAGGAAAUACAUGCAUUCCAUACACUUAACAAGAGUUUAGAAAUUCACUUGCCUCAAUUUAUCGAACAGUCACUCCGGGACUUUAGUCUUCCCCCUUUGUUGCACUUCCAAAUAAAAUUCAGUCUAUUCAAAUAAUUAAACACUAUAAGGUUUCGAAGUUAACAACACACAUAUUGCACGUGUCUAUACUAAACCAAAAAAACUCACGCAAAUUUAUAAUUAAGUUCUUAAGUUUCAAGAUUAGGAUUAAAUUUUUAAUUUCUUUUCAAUAUCAUAAAUCUUAAGACAUUCACUUAAUACCAUAUACCUAAUACUUAAUUAUAUAUAUUAAUAUAUCAAAACUUAAAUGAUAAUAUGGAAACUAUUAAAAGGAUCUCAAAUUGAUCCGCUUCUAGGUUAAAGGGAAGCACUAGACUCACUCCACGGGAACUCGCUUUUCGGUUUGCUUCAGAUUUGGCAUUCAUUCCCCUUCCCUUUCCUGAUGCAAUUCAAAUUGACAAGUAGUAGUGACAGCAUAAUAAAUGUCCGGAGGACAGAACAAAAUCUUUAAUUCCCGGGUUUCCUUAAAUUUAUAUCACCCAUAUUUGAACACCAAAAUAAAGAUAUUUCAUGAAAUACUUUUAUACGGAAGGCUUCUUGCAUGUCUAUUUACCUCCCUUCCCAAUAAUUGUUUCAUGAUCAUCAACAAUUGGUCAUAAUUACUCAAUGACUAAGGUGAAAUUUAUGCUAAAUAACAUAUGCAUACAUGUACACAAAAUUAAAAUUAGUUUCACAUAGUGGUGUAAAUUAUACACGUUUUAAUCUAAAAAUCUACUUCUAAUUACAUAAAAACUUAAUAGAAAGGAUGAAAAUAAUUACCUUGACGCCUUGAGAUGAAAAUAUUGAUUUUUCUCCUCCUUUUCCCUUUUCUUUUCUCCCUUUCUUUUCUUUUUUUCUCUGCCUUUUUUUUCUUUUUCAAAUCGUUUUUUUUUUCCUCAAAUAAGCCGUCAUAGGCUUUUUAUAAGUUUAGGACACUUUGCCCCUUUUCUUUUUAUUUUAUUUUAUUUAUUUAAUUAAUUAAUUUCCUUUUCUUUCUUUUUUUCAUUACUAUUAGCAACAAAAAAAAUCUUUUAUUAAAUCUAAAAAUCGUGUCACUCAUUCUUACAAGUCAUAUAAAUUAUUUAUAAAAUCUACUAAAAAGGUUAAUAUAAAAAAUAAUAGUUGAAAUUUCUAAAACGACUAAGAGGGUCGUUACAUCUUCCUACUAAUUAAGUAACAAAAGGUUGUCUCUUAUAAAAUUAGGACAAAGAAAUGGUUGUUAACGGUGCAUAAGGGGGGUAUCAGAGGAUGAUGGAUCCCUUGUUAUCUGGAUCUGUGUUUGUUUGUCCCUCUAGUUAUUUGGUUGGUGUUGGAUGCCUAUGCUUAGCAUCAAUUUUAAGACAGGUAGAGAGUUGAUUUGUCUGUUGUUUAAAAAAAUCUUCUUCACUUUUGCUAUCUGAUUAUCUCAUAGCGUGGCGAAGUUUGAUUGCUUUCCAUACUAUUUGGUCUAGUGGUAAGGUGAUCCUGCUCCCAUUGCAGAAAAAACAUACUUGGGUUUAAGAGUGUUAUCAGUUGGAAAUUCUGUGUGGAGAUUUUUCCAUUAUUAAUAAAAUUAUUUUCCUUUUAAAAAAUCACAUGGAUGCUGUAUGUUGAAAGUAUUAUAUUAUAUAUCCCAUGUAAUGGGCAUAAAUUUCAGAAACUCGGAGUUUAUUCCUUUCUCCGCAUCUCAUCGUCUUUAUUUGAUCAGGAGGGAAACUUGUUAAUCUUUAAUUAUUUGUCUCUUAGUAAGAAUUCAUUAUGUUUAAACAGUCGACUAGUCCUUGAUUGAGAUAAUAUUUGGAUCUGUCUCCAUAAUGGUUAGACUAUUUCUAUGAGUGCUUGGGGGAAGCCAUACCCCUUUAUUAGGAUUAAUUGCUUCAAUGCGGUCACUAUUUGCUAGAUUUGAUGCUUUGGUUGGCCUAAAUCAUGCUUCUUGAUCUGUAAAAUUUACGGAUGGAGGAAACGUCUUCAGCACUGCUGCAAAAAUUGAUAUGUUGCUUUUAUUUUUUAAAUUGCUGUUAUCACAGAUGUUUUACAACUCUACUCUGAUCAAUUGUAGGGGCCAAAUGGGACAAUAUGAGAAGGUAACUGAUAAAGUGGAUGAACAGAAGGUUCCUGAAGUAACCAAUGAAGAAAAGAAGUCUCUUGAAAAUGGAAAAAGCCAGGAGAGUAGUGUAACUAGUUUCAGCUGUUGCCAAGGUGCUGCGGGAGUUUCUUGUUGUAGAGAUGCAAGUGCUGAGCAGAAAGAGAACAAGAAAGGGCAGGGAACAGUUUCAAACUGGUUCGGCAAAUGGGAGCAGCGUGAAAUACUCGCAGCUGUAGGUGUGGUUGGAGCAGUGGCUGUUGUCGCUGUGGCUUAUGGCUUUUACAAGAAGUCACGGUGAAGCAUGUUAACUUGGGACAAACUUUGUGCUCAAGAGUUUUCGGGUAUCUAGGUUUUGUAGAAAGGUAAUAAUGUUCGAGAUAAUCUCGGACACUGAAAAUGCAUACAUAUUUGGUAUAUUUAGAGAAAAUUAAAUGCAAUGUGUAAUUCGACUAUGGAGAGCAGCUCCUUUGCUCGUUCCCAGUAAGAACUAGAAGGGGUGAUAAAUAUAAAGUGCCAACUAAGUGCUACAUGUAGAAUGAUAGUUUUUACUUCUCUUGCUUGGGAUUGAGGGUGAUUUUAUGUGAUGUGUUAUGGGCAGAUUUGCUUUUUUCUUCUUGUGAAACUGGUUGAUAUGAUUGUCUUUUCAGCCCUUUGACCACCAUGGAAAAUAGACAGCUAGCAAACAGUAGCGUAUUUGGUGUCUUUACUUCAUCGAUGCAACCUAAGAAAUGUUUGACAUAGUUUUCGUCCUCUUAACUGUUGAGGUUGAGUUAAAAUCACAGAUGUCUACUCUUAUGUAUCAAACUUCAGAACUAUACAACUUUUUUCUGCACGAUGCAGCAGAAUGUUUGAUUUAGGACCAUAGAUAUGCUCAUACGUCCCUGUGAUAUCCACUGUUGUGUAAAACAACGUGAGCCUCAUUCCUAAAGUCUAACAACACUUUGGCCAGUUAUCUUUUUCAAUUCUCUCUCUUUAAUUGGACCUCUAAGUUCAGCUGCAUCAUCCCACUUCCCAUCAACAGCAUACACAUUUGAUAACAGGAUGUAAUAUCCAGCAUGAUCUGGAUCUAACUGGAGAAGAUUCCUGGCAGCGACUUCUCCAAUUUCUGCAUUCUGAUGAAUUCUGCAAGCACCAAGCAAGGCCCCCCAUACGUGUGCUCCAACCCGUGACUGCAUUUGGUUAAUGAGGCACAUAGCCUUGUCCAGCUCUCCGAUUCGUCCAAGCAGGUCAACAAUGAUUGCAUAAUGCUUUGAUUCUGGCAUCAGUUCGUAUUCAUUUAACAUCAUAUUGAAGAAUUCAAUUCCUUCCUCAACAAAACCUGCAUGACUACAAGCUGCUAAUAUUGAAAGGAAGGUAACUUUGUUAGGACACACCGUGGUAUCUGCAACCAUACGAUGAAAUAACUUAAUUGAUUCCCUAGCUUGCCCAUGAAUUCCGUAGCCAGCAAACAUGGAGCUCCAGAUAACAACAUCUUUAUCUGUUAAACUCUCAAAAACAUUGAUAGCCUCCUCCAAGCUACCACAUUUUGCAUAACAAUCAAUAACUGAAGAUCCGAUGAACGAAUUGCUGAUGAACCCACCUCUAAUUACAUAACUAUGAAGACAAGAAGUCAAUUGAAGAACCCCCAAAUCAGAACAAGCUCCAAGAAGUUUAAUAAUCACAGUAGCAUCAGGUUGGAUAUCGCUGGCCAUCAUAUCACAAAAUAUUUGCAUAGACUUGUUGGCCAUUCCAUUUUGAACACAACCACAUAACAGAGCAAACCAAGAAACAGGAUCUUUGCUGGGCAUCCUGUCAAAUAAGAAAAUCGCUUCCUGAGGUGAACAACAGCCCAUGUACAUAUCAAUCAAAGUGGUGGAGACCAAUAUAUCAAGUUCAAAACCUUUCUGCAAAGCUAAUUUAUGUAUUUCCCUGCCUUUGUCUAAGUUACAACAAGCUUCACAUGCUUGCAAAGCACUGAUAACACAUGCGACGUUGGGUUCAAUUCCUUUAUAUAUCAUCUCAUCAAAAAGACUUGUAGCUCUAUCAGUAGCAUCAUUAUGAGCACAACAUGAGAUCAUACAACUCCAUGAGAUAACAUCUUUCUCCUCCAUCACCCUAAACCAAUUUCCUGCAUAAAACAUGGACCCAGAUUUCGCAUAUAAGUUCAGCAGAGCGUUUGAUAAAGAAAGGGAACUUUCAUAACCCAUUCGAAACACGUGUGCAUGAACACUUUUUCCAGCUUUUAAAUUCAACAACUGAGUACAAGCAGAGACAACAGUGACAAGAGUUAUUGGGUCUGGACUAAUGCAAUGCGCCAUCACCAUUCCAGUAAAAACAGCUAGUGCUUUAUCAGGCUUAAAGUUCUUCUCAUAUCCAGUAACCAGAGUAGUCCAUAAAACAAUAUCCGGUUUUAAAUAUUCCUCAAAGGCGCGAAAAGCAUCGUCCAUAUCUCCACAUCUCGAGUACAUGUCAAUGAGGCCUGAUCCAAGAAACAUGUUUGAAUGAAUUUUACCAUAUUUCUUCCCCAACCCAUGAAUUAUUUUGCCAAAAUUUGUAGCUUUUAAUGCAGAACACGCCUUCAAUGCAAAGAGUAGAGUAAAAUGAUCAACCUUUUCGAAUGAAAACAUGGACGAAAACAGAGAUAAUACUUCCUCAUAUCGGUUCUUUCCACAGAAGCGUUGCAGAAUGCGAUUACAGGUGUAUAUAUUUGGGUGAGGAAUUUCAUCAAACAGCUUACGCGCAGUUUGAGCUGGCAACAACUCGAAAUAUAAGUCUGUUAUUUUUGCAGCCAAGUGAGUGUCGUAAGUUCUGAUAGUUAAAGAAUGCAAUUGAGUGAGAAAAUUGGUUGUUCUACAUACUCCGACGACCUUCAAAACAUGUUCCGGUGAUCUCAUAAGUGCCGUUCAAUCAAACUGCAUUUCGCCUGGUAAGUUUUUUUUUAUUUUCAAGUUCAAGUCCCAACAAAGAAAAGGUAGUUUUUUUAAAUACUGAGUUUCGACAGGAACUCAAAUUUAAUCGAGUUUUGCUUUGCUACACAGUAGUAGAUUAAUAACCAGUCAUUAUUUUUUAGAUUUAAGAAAAAAGACUUAGCAAAUCAUAAUUUUUUUGAUUUAAGGAAACAAAAAGAAUACUUUACAAGUCAUUCUUUUUUAGAUUAAAGAAAAAAGACUUAGCAAAUCAUAAUUUUUUUGAUUUAAGGAAAAAAAAGAAGAAGACUUCCUUUUUAGAUUAAAGAAAAAAGACUUUCUAAAUGAGAUCAAGAAAUUGAAUCAGGAUUCCUUCUGAAUGAGAAAUAUUUAAAUAAGAAUAAGUUGUAAUAAUCAUGGUCAAUUGCUCUCUAAAUUCAAGAAAUGAGAACAAUUAAAAGUGUAAUCAUGAUUACUUAUCAAUUAUGGGGAAUACGUUAAAAAGAAUGACUUCUAAGUCACACUCAAAUUGUUGGCAAAAAGUCAAGAAAUGAAAUUAUUGUUAUAAAAUCAAGCUCAUGGCAAUAUAAAUAUAAAGAGAUGAAGACAAGAGGAGUAAGAUGGAAGAUAAGACUUUCUUUUUUUAAGUGUAUUCAAGUCUCAUAUGUAUCUAUUACAAUAGUGAAUGAACAACCCUAUUUAUAGAGUGAGAAAUCACUUCAAAGGUCACCAUAUUAAGUAUCAUACUAAAUAGAUACAUUCUUAUCCAAAAAGGUUCAUGUAACCUAGUGAAUAUGAAUGGUUGUUCAUGUACCAACCUUAUGGACUAUCCACUCAUUCAAUGAAUUUAUAACACUCCCCCUUGGAUGUCCAUAGAUAAUGUGCCUCGUUAAAACCUUACUAGGAAAAAUCCUGUGGGAAAAAAUUCUAGUGAAGAAAAAAGAGUACACAUAUCUUUUGAUACGCACUAUUUAUUGCCUCAUUAAAAACCUUGUCAGGAAAACCCAGUGGGAAAAAAACCUCGGUCAAGGGAAAAAGAGUGCAACGCGUAUUAUACUCCCCUAAUUUAAACAUCACUUAAUUUCUUGUGAUGAUGUCUCCAAUCUUCGUACAUUAUGGUUGGUAUAUUCUUUUUUAAAGAAAAACCACACAUUUCUUGAAUAUGGUGUGUCAUUUAUCUCAACCAAACGCACUUUCAACUUGCUUCAUGGAGGACUUUUAUUUCUGCAUAGCAACAUUUGUUUGCUUCAUUGAUCGCCAGGAUAUUAUUGUACCUCCACAUGAAUACACAUAGCGUGGUUGAGAUAGAGCUUUAUACGGACCAGAUAAAUAUUCUGCAUUUGCGUAACCAAUCAAUUUUGUGUUGGAUUCCUCGGAAUAGAAUAAACCCAUAACUAUGGUCCUUUGAGGAUAUUCAAUCAUGUGCUCAACACCAUUUCAAUGUCCUUUUAUCGGGGAGAAACUGAAUCUUGCCAGUAAAUUUACUGCAAAACAAAUAUCUGGAAUAAUAUUGUUAGUAAGAUGCACUAGUGCCCUGAUUGCACCAAGAUAGAGUUUCAUCACCAAGAAACUCUUCAUCCUUCUUUUGAGAUCAAACUGAAUCAUCAUUUAUGUCAAGUGAUCUCAUAAUCAUUGGGGUACUCAAUGAAUGUGAUUUAUCCAUAUUAAAUUGCAUCAAAACUUUUCAGUGUAUGUGCACUGUUAAACAAAUAUUUCAUUUGUCAAAUUAUCAAUCUGUUGGUCAAGACAAAAUUUUGUCUUACCAAAACCUUUUCAUAAAAAUACAAGGACAAUUAGGGUCAUUCUUUUGUACCCUUUUUCUUCCUUGACCAUUUCAAUCCAUAUAAGGAUUCUUGAAGCUUUAUUGAAAAAGUUUCUUUCAAGCUCUUAUAUGCUUCAGACACCUCGAUUGUUUCAAGGAUUUUCAUAUAACCUUCAUUCUCUAGCUAGACAUUACAAUUAUUCAUUACAUGCAUUCAAGUUUUUCAUAUGUUGCCAGAUCAAAACAAACCUCAUUUCAUCCACCAAAGGAGAAAACAUCUCCACUAAUAUCAGGAUUUUUGCGAUAAACCUUUAUGCCCCAAGGCACAAACCGUAUUUGAUAUUUUACGGUUAUAUUAUCGCAUAAUAAUUUAUUUGUACCCCACUGACAUUAUACCUUGAUUUAUGGACUACCAGUCCAAAAUGUCACUUUUCUAAGUGAAACAAAAUAUACUUGAAUUGUGCAUUUUACUUGGCCAACCAUUUAUCUCUUCACACUAUAUGACAAAUUUGAAUUCAAGAUCCUCAUCAUAAUUUAUAUCAUUGAGCGCUACCUCAUAUCAAAGAUACCGUCGGCGGUUAUUUGAUAUCGAUUCCAACAAGACAUAACUUAUCGAGAUCUCUUCAUUUUUCAUUAUUUCAGGUACCUGAACCUUUUUCAAGAUUUUAUGAAGUGUUAUGUCAAUGUGCUCCUUUAUAGCACUUGCCUCAUUAUCAUGAACAUAUUGAUCAUUUGCUCUUUCCUUCUUCAAGGAAUUUUAUAUUUGGAAUCAAUUUGUCUAUUACGCUUCCGGCGUAUCAUAGGCUCUGUCCUUCAAGGACUUCACAUUGGAGCAUUUGCAGCUGAAUUAUAUCAUAAGAUCAGUGCAUUCAUCUGGCAACUGAUUUGCAACAUUAUGCAACUGAAUUAUCCCUUGAACUUUAAGUUCACAUAUUUAUUUUAACGAGGAUCUAGAUAAUUCAUAAUUAACCUCACACAUAAUUUUCAGCUGUCAAUCAUCUCUCCCCCUAAUGUUAGAAAAUCUAACAUUCAUUCCAACCUUAUUUGGAAGUUCAUCUUUGUGCGUGGUGGAGCAACUAAAAUCAUAAUCGCACAUUCAACAUUUUAGAUGAAAAUUAUAUGGUUCCUGACCCUAAACCAAUUUUAAUGGGGAAACCUUGUUGGUUUGAUGCAUACAUGUGUUGCUACAUGUUAAACAAAAUUAUCUCAUACCAAAUUUUAUUUGGGAGUUUUGUUCUCAUAACCAUGAUUUAGCUAUAAUUGGAGGCAUACAAUUUCUGCUAAAUCAACCACUAUUAUCAAUAUAAUUUCAUAAUUUGGAACUAUGCUAUUAAUUUUAACAAUUCGAGCAAACAACUUUACAAAAACCAAUUUGUAAGUUGACAACAAAAUACAUGUGACCAUCGCAUAGAUGCAUUAAUCAUAUAGUUGCAAGGUGAACAGGCCCAUAUUCACCCUUUUAUAUGUUCCAAAAAAUUUUAGGGGAUUACAGUCCCGACCUUAGCUAGUACAAUGAUCAUUUUAUCAAGAGAACAAACAACACAGGAGAAUUCUUGAAGAAUCUUUAUUUCUUCAUCAUAUAAGCCUCAUAAAUUCUCAAUUACGUUUGCAUCACAUUUAAAUCAGAAUGGUCAACUGAUCAUGCCAACUGAUUUUUAUUUCAGUACACUUAUAAUUUACUUUUACAUGUGAUUUCAUCAGCAUGUACAUGUUUGUAUGGAACAAACAGGAGGAAAAGUGGGAUAAUCUUUUACAUAAACAUUAUAACCCUUUUCGGUUGUAGUGAUUUAUAGUCUCAAUAUUUAUUUUCAUUCAUCCGAAACUUAAAAAGUUUCUUUUGAGACUUACUACAACCCCAAUAUUAUUCCUUUGAUAAUAGCACAAGUCGUUAGAGCUUGCAAUUAAUUUUGUGUACUAUGACAUAUUGCAUGACACCAUCCCUAUGGUGAGCAUCUCCUUCGAGGAGGAAAUUAUAUUAUUAUUGUCAUGGUCAAAAUCAUUACGAGCAAGACGUCUUUCUUGCUUUACUUUUGUUGUACCAUAGGUACACAACCAAUGACAAAUUUGUAUUGCCACACAAUAAUGACCACAACCCUUAUAGGCAAGAACUAUUUCUUUCUUUUGCCCUUUCGGUAGUUUAUAUCAUAGUGACGUAUAAAACGUACAAUACAAUUAGCCAUUUCUACCAAAUAAAAUUUAUUUCCUCUCAAAUCUCCCGUAGAGAUGAGAAGUGACAUGUAUCAUUUCUCAAACCUUCUAUAGAGGUGAGUUGUGACGUAUAUCCAACCCAUAAUGAUUUUAUCACAUCUGGACCCAUUCUCUUAUAGAAUGGCCGAGCAUUCACGAUACUUAUUACAAGUCACAUUCUCUUCA
rnacentral:lncRNA from 1 species